rnacentral:lncRNA from 1 species
CACACCAGAAGAGUUACAACCAGACCCUCUUAUUAUACCAUGUUUGUUACAAUGAGGGAAUUGAACAUCAUGAAUCGUCAUUCAAGCAAGGAAAUCAAAGGUUGACAGCUUAUUCUGUUUCUAUAUUUCCCCACUAGAAUCGUGCUUGAAGGUAUUCAACCACCCUCUUGUCCAACUGGAAGGCCCUUGCCAGGAAAUCAGGAUUGAUGGGUGGAUUUGAUCCAAACAUUGAACUGGCUAUGGUGACUAUACCUGGAUUUUGGCUGUUAAAAGCGGCAAUGGCUACUGCAUUAGUGUGCCCAAUGUUGACUUGGAAGUGAAUGAGACUGAAAGGGAACACAAAAACAUCCCCCUUGUUCAGGACUUUGCUAACGAAGCGGUGUUCAGGGUUGGAUGUGAUAAAGCCAACAAAGAGUGUUCCCUCCAAGACAACGAGGAUCUCACUGGCACGAGGGUGAAAGUGAGGAGGGUUUUGACCAUUAGGUUCAUAAUCGAUACGAGCCACUGACACCCCAAGAGCGUUUUCUCCUGGUAAUUGAUCAACAUUUAUAAGAUUGACAAUUGAGCCCACAUAAUUUGAUGUGUUUCCUGGAAUAUUCAGCCCUUGAUACAAGAAAUCCUCGGCCACGGUCAGGUUUGGGUUCUUGCAGAACUUCCCAUUUACAAAUACUGCAUGAAGAAGGAAAAAAGAAAAGAUAUAUCAUUAGUAUCGAACCAUACUCACCAUAUCAAUAAAAAGAGAAGUACUGAAAAUAGCUAUAAGAUCAUUGGUUACUAUAGAAAUACCAGCAUUCUUGGGCUCAUCAACGGCAACACAGGUGUCUUCCAGUGGGCUUGGAUCAUAGGCAGAGGCAAGAAAGGAAGCCAAUGCCAUGAAGGCCACGGUUACCAGGAAACUAACGCUUUUCUUCAUUGUUAGAGUACUGUCUCCAACAAUCACAAUAUUUAUCUUUAGGCGGGGAUAAGAAAUUUAGCAUGGAAAAGAUGUUAAUUUAUAGACCAGAGUCGGUGAGUUAGUCUUUGCAUAAACUCACCAAGUCUUCAAUGGGAAGUUUUUUCUUCUUUCUUUUUUCACUUUCGAGGACAAGCGGUUGCACCAAUACAUGUUGAUUUACGUAGGAUUAGUCAGUAUACAGAUCUUAACCAGAAUAUAAAGCAAUGUACAAUCAGGUGGAGGCAGGUCCAAUUUAAUAUCAAUCUGUAUGAUCCAUACGUUUACAUAUAUAGUAGAGCUUUCUGCUCUUUUAGUAGUGUAUGGACAAGCAAAUAGAAGAUUACAGAGUAGGUGCCAGCUUGGACUAUACAAUGACCCACCCCUAUCAAACAUGGUUACUCCAUGAGACUUGUGUAGGUUCAGUUUAAUGAGUAUUUAUAUAGCUUAAUUCACCAUUCGAAGUGUUGAGAGAUUGGCUGAUGAGAUUGAAUAUGUAGCCAAGUUCUGAGUUUCUAGCUCAUGUGCCUUCCACUGAGUGAAAAGUCCUUGGAUAAGCUCUGGGGUUGCCUCAGUUCAAUGAAAAAUUGGGAUAAAUUCAAAGACUUUCUGCUAUAUGCUCACUAGGCUUUCCUCAGUUACAAAAGCUUUGACUAUGAUUUUUAUGCUUGCAGCCUUCCCUGUCUGAGCGGUUGGCUCAAAAGUUACUACUACAAUUAUUAUGGUUUGUGAGAGAAAGAGAUCUUAACAAACACCUUUAAACUAAGACUUUUUAAUUAGUCGUCUUUAACAAGCAAGUCUGUAUUUUCUGGUGAGAAGCAAGAAACCUUACAUUAGCAAAAUACCAAUUAAUUAGAUGAAGUCCUUCGGCUAAUCUAUGCCCUAUAAGUAAGGUAAUUAAGCAGAUCGAUACACUUUCCAAAUCUUCAAUGGAUGUCAUUUUUCAAAUUGAAAGGUUGAACCAUUCUGAGAAUUUUCAAAUUGGACAGGCCAUCUGUAAUCAGAUUGUGAUUAGUGUCAUGACCCAUUAGAUCUUUAUAAGAAGUUGGGGUUAGAGGUUUGUUCACAGUGGAUGUCAUGAGAUUUCUGGGCUUUCAUUUCCAUUCUUUCCUCACUAUUUCAUGACACUGAUGCUUCUCCCACCAUUCAUAUGGUUUGACUCGGACAUCUUAAUUAGUUUUUUCGAUCUCAGUUGAUGGGGGCCGGUUAUACUGGGAUAAUCUAGAGAAGCAAAUUAAUGGCAUCUUUCCAUUAUUGGAUUAUAUGAGGUUGUUGGCCAUGGUUCAAAGUCAUGGUAUCGGACACCAACUCGGUAAGUCUUGAGGCACAUGGGUCUCAACGUCGCAGAUCAAUAUCGGGUGAUACACAAAAAAUUAUAGUUUAAAAGCCCAAAACAAUUUAAAAAGAUUACAAAAAUAAAUACAAAUAAAUGAAGUUAAAAAUUAAUAAAAUAAACUUUUAUUAUAUAUAAAAUUAUUCAAAUUAUGAUAAAAACAUACCUUCGUAAUGAUUUAUAAAAAUAUAAAAAAAUUAAUUUAAUCACUUAAUAUUAAAUAUGCAUUAUUAAAGAUGAAAAUAAUAAAAAGUGAAUUUAUUGUUUAUAAUUUUUUUUAAAUUAAAUAUUUUAAAUUUUUAAAAAAUAUUUUCAAUAUUUUAAAAAAUACAUCUAGGAAUCAUCUUUGAAAAAAGUAAACAUCAUUUUUCUUAUCAAAUAUAUACUAAAUGAAACAAUUAUAAAAAUGGAGAAUUUUUAUUUGAAUGAGCAUAUUUGAAUAUAAUAUAUUUUUUCUAUACAUCUAUUCAUUUUAAUUGACUUUUUAUAUUAAUAUUUAUUUUCUAUUUUAUUUAUGUAAACCUAAAUAUUCAUUAUUAAUUUACCAUUAUCCUAAACCCAUCAAAUUUUCAUUAUCCAUUUAAAUACAAUUAUUCACCACAUAUUCAUUAACUACUUAUUUGUAAUCCUAUCAAAUACCCAUAAACCAUUCACCUCGCAAACACGUAUUUCCUUUUUUUGCACAAUACCCAUUUCCCCUCUAAAACAACACUUUGAGCUCUCUACUUCUUUGCACAAUACCUAUAUUUGAAGGCUAAAAAAAUAACCCCAUGAAGAUACAAGAGGAUGGAGAUGCAAAUAGAAGGAUGAAGAUGCACAAGGUUUGAAGACUCUAAACUCUCCAUACUUCUUCACUUUCAUGAGUUUUGAUUAUCUUCUCUUAUCCACCAUUUCUGCUCCAAUAUUACUAUUUUUUUUCCAUCACCCAUCACCCAUCACCCAAAGAGAUUAGUUUGAAUAUAAUAUUAGGGUUAUCUCAAAGUUUCUUUGUGAUUUAACAAGUUUAUUCAUGAGUCAACCAAAUAUUGGACUCAGGAAUCAGUCCAAUACGGUUCAUGAGCUCUUUAUUUAUUUGUACAAUACCCAUUUUUGAAGGCUCACAACACAACCCUACAAAGAUACAAGAUGAUGAAGAUGCAAAUACAAGGAUGAAAUGCAAAGGGUUUGAAGACUCUGAACUAUUUAUAUUUUUUCACUUUCAUGGGUUUCGAUCUUCUUCUCUCAUCCACCAUUUUCGCUACAAUAUUACUAUUUUUUUCCAUUACCCAUCACUCGAAAAGCUUAGUUUGGACACAAUCUUUAGGUUAUCUCAAAGUUUCCAUGCGAUUCAACAAGUUUAUUUCAUUAGAUAACCAAAUAUUGGACUCAGAUAUCAAUUCGAUACCGGUCAUGGCCAAGACGGAUGUAACUCAGUCGAGUCAAACUAGUCUUGACUAAGAUUUUGAACCCCAUUUGAGCUCUCUAUUUCUUUGCAUGUACAAUGCCCAUUUUUGAAGGCUCACAAAAUAGCCCUAUGAAGAUACAAGAGAAUGGGGAUGAAAAGGGUUUGAAGACUCUGAACUCUUCAUACUUCUUCGCUUUCAUGGGUUUCGAUCUUUUUCUCUCAUCUACCAUUUCUACUCCAAUAUUACCAUUUUUUUUCCAUCAUCUACCACCUGAAGAGCUUAGUUUGGAGAUAAUCUUGGGGUUAGCUCAAAGUUUCUUUGUGAUUUAACAAGUUUAUUCAUGAGUCAACCAAAUGUUGGACUUAGGUAUUGGUUCGACACCAAUCAUGGCUAAGGCGGAUAUGACUGAGUUGAGUCGUACAAGUCUCGAUCAAGAUUAUGAGCCCUGUUUGAGCUCUCUAUUUCUCUACACAAUACCCAUUUUUGAAGACUCACAAAAUAGCCUUAUGAAGAUACAAGAUAAUGGAAAUGCAAAUAUAGGUGUAGGACCUCAGGCGCUACCAACUCUCCUAAAAGCAAUUGCUGUUAGGAAAGACGCAUACCCUAACCUUAUAGUGCAUUCACCCAAGCGCCCAUGGAGAACACAAGGGGAGUUUAUGGAUACGACCAACCUUCCGAUCUAUCAGCAAUCUCCCAUACCACUUGUAGGACCUCAGACGCUACUAACUCUCCUAAAAGCAAUUGCUGUUAGGAAAGACGCAUACCCUAACCUUAUAGUGCAUUCACCUAAGUUCCCACGACAAACAUAAGAAGAGUUGAUGGACGCGGCCAACCCUCUGAUCUGCCAACAAUAGGGAUGAAAAUCCAAAGGGUUUGAAGACUCUGAACUUUCCAUAUUUCUACACUUUCAUGGGUUUCGAUCUUCUUCUCUCAUCCACCAUUUUCACUCCAAUAUUACCAUUUUUUUUUCUAUCAACCAUCACCCAAAGAGCUUAGUUUGGACAUAUUCUUAAGGUUAUCUCAAAGUUUCUUUGUGAUUUAGCAAGUCUAUUCAUGAGUCAACUAAAUAUUAGACUUGAGUAUCGAUCUAGUACUGGUCAUGGCCAAGGCAAAUAUGACUCGGUCGUGUCAUACCAAUCUAGAUCAAGAUUUUGAACCUUAUUUGAGCUCUCUAUUUCUUUGUACAAUACCCAUUUUUAAAGGCUCACAAAAUAACCCUAUGAAGAUACAAGAGGAUAAAGAUGCAAAUAUAGGGAUGAAGAUGCAAAAGGUUUGAAGACUCUGAACUCUCCAUAUUUCUUUGCUUUCAUGAGUUUAACUCUUCUUCUCUCAUCAACCAUUUUUGCUCCAAUGUUACCAUUUUUUUCACCAACCAUCACCCGAAGAGCUUAGCUUGGACAUAAUCUUUAGGUUAUCUCAAAGUUUCUUUGUGAUUUAGCAAGUUUGUUCAUGAGUCAACCAAAUAUUGGAUUUAGGUAUCAGUCUGAUACCGAUCAUGGUUGAGGUAGAUAUGACUCGGCUGAGUCUUACCGAUUUCGACCAAGAUUUUGAACCCUGUUUGAGCUCUGUAUUUCUUUGCACAAUACUAAUUUUUGAAGGCUUAUAAAAUAACCUUACGAAGAUACAAGAUGAUGGAAAUACAAAUACAAGGAUGAAGAUGCAAAGGGUUUGAAGAGUUUGAACUCUCCAUACUUCUUGAUUCGUUCCCAAUUGGUGUCUCAGCUGAUUCAUGUCCAGCUGGUGCUCUUUGAUUGAGAGAGUAAUCAACAAAAUUUAUAACCUAUAUCACUAUGCAUUAGGAUAGCUUUAGCUAAUAUAGCAUAGUGGCUCUAGGAUCGUUCACUGGGAAGGGUUUUCAACUCACAACUGAUACCAAUUCAAAGUUAAAUUGGUACUUUUUCAUUUCAAGGUUAGCUUAAGAAAAAAACACAAACUUUGUUUAAAUGAGGUUUUGUUUAAAGGUAACUAAAAAGAAAGUAAUGGAAAUUACUUAUGAAGAAAAACAUUCCUUGGAGGUUUAGGUUCACAGGGGAGGUUUCUUAUGCAAAAACAGAGCUCCGGUCAUUUGGUUCAUUUCCUCGCAUUAGAGAAUUAACAUAUAGUCAAUUCUCUAACCGGUGCUGCACAGAUGUAUCCUUUAAAUGGAUUUCAACUCUAAUUCCCUCUCACUGAUGCAACUUGCAAUGGCUCGUGCCUCUCACCUAGCAUUUUCCAUUCAAUGUGAUCUUUAACUUUGGACUUCUCUUCUCAAGCUCGCAAGAGAUAACUAACGGAUGUCUCCUUGGAGUCCAAAAGCUUACCAAGUGUUGGCAAUUCUAGAAAAUCCUACCUCCAAGUCACUUCCCAAAAGCCCGCAAGAGAUAAACAAGUGCAUCUCCAUGGACGGAGAUCACGUGCCUUACCAAGUGUUGGCUUAAGUGAAUUGAAGGUAUUUUAAGUUAACUAAAAACAUAUAAAUCAUUAAAGGAUCACACUUUCUCUUCAUUAAUGACUGAAACCACAAAGCUACUAAUUCUUGCACUUGGAACCUUUCCCGGCAACCUUAACUCCAAGGAACUAAAAGUCUAGCCACUCAUUCUAUGAGGAAACUUCCUCAGAGCUUGUUUGGCUAGUAAGAAAACUAACGAGAAAACAAUUAUAUGAAGGAAAAACAGAGCAAGUGCUCUAUAAAAUAUAUUUCUUUUUUCUGCCGAUUACAUAAUAUAUCUUUGUAAAGAAAAUUACAAACUAUAUAUAUGAGGUUAUUCACCCUUUGUACUUACUUAAAGACUAAGGAAUCCUAUGAUAGGUGGGUUACAAGGAGACUUUGGGAGGUGGGUUACAAGGAGACUUUGGGGAUUUAGACAACAAAUAUUUAAAGCAAAAUAUCUCAGGAUGUCGGUCGGAAAUAUCAAGAAGCUUCAGGAGAACACCGUGGCACUGUAUACUGAGAGAAAAACUCUCCUGGUAAGCGCUAUCAGAGGAUCCGGAUAAGUUUGACCGGAGAAGUUGAAACGUCCUCCUCUCCCAUCCGGCUGCGAGAUAUCCAGAUGUAAAAUGUCGGCGCACAGAAUUCCGGAUGUGAAAUGUCGACGCACGGAAUUCCUCCCCUGGUGGACUAAGCUAUGUUGCGCAAGGGGGACCGUCUGCGUGUGCAAGGUGUAGGGACCCCUCUCCCGGAUGACACGGAAUGCGCAAGGCUAUCCGGAUCAACUCCAUCCGGAUUCCCCAAGAGGACAUGUGGCGUGCUCCCCUAUUCAGACUCCCUCAGGUUGAAGCACACAGCACUCGUGAUCAUCACACCCGGACGAUAGCAUAUCCUAUCCGGAUAUGUUGUCCGGAUCAUUGACUUCCGCCGUCAUCCGAUGGUGUGUCCGGACAUCUUUUACUCCUUGCAUUCCAGAUUUGCUUAUGGAAAAGAACCUCAAAGCUUUGGUUCUUCAUAUUUCUGAGCUUUCCAUUGCUUUGCCAUGGAUUCCAAAGAACUCUCCUCAAUCACGGAUUGCUUUGGUGAUAAAAAAGCUAUCAAAACACCAAAACUUAACACAAUUUGAUUAGAAUUGAUUGCAAGGGUCCUUAAUAUGUUAAUUGGGUUAAAAUGUGAUAACUACUACUCAAAAGUGUUUAAAAGAGUUUAUUACAAGCUAUCAAAUAGCACUUUUUGAGUAGUAAUCACUUCUUCACUACCAUGGGUUUCGAUCUUCUUCUCUCAUCCACCAUUUUCCCUCCAAUAUUACCAUUUUUUUUCCAUCACCCAUUACCCGAAGAGCUUAGUUUGGACAUAAUCUUAGGGUUAUCUCAAAGUUUCUUUGUGAUUUAACAAGUUUAUUCAUGAGUCAACUAAAUAUUGGACUUGGGUAUCGGUUCGAUAAUAGUCAUGGCCUAAGAUUUUGAACCCUUUUUUAGCUCUCUAUUUCUCUGCGCAAUACCCAUUUUUGAAGGCUCACAAAAUAACCCUACAAAGAUAUAAGAUGAUAGAGAUGCAAAUACAGGGAUGAAGAUGCAAAGCGUUUGAAGACUCUGAACUCUCCAUACUUCUUCACUUUCAUAGGUUUCGAUUUUCUUCUCUCAUCCGUCAUUUUAGCUCCAAUAUUACCAUUUUUUUGCAUGACCUAUCACUCGAAGAGCUUAUUUUGGACAUAAUCUUAGGGUUAUCUCAAUUUUUUAUUUUAUUUUUGUGAUUCAACUAGUUUAUUCAUGAGUUAACCAAAUAUUAAACUCGGGUAUUGGUCUAGUACCGGUCAUGGUUGAGGCGGAUAUUACUCGGCCGAGUCGUUUUGAUCUCAACUGAGAUUUUGAACCCCAUUUAAGUUCUUUAAUUCUUUUCACAAUACCCAUUUUUGAAGGCUCACAAAAUAACCCUACGAAGAUACAAUAUGAUGAAGAUGCAAAUAUAGGGACGGAGAUGCAAAUGGUUUAAAGACUUUGAGCCCUCCAUAUUUUUUCACUCUCAUGGGCUUCGAUUUUCUUCUCUCAUCCACCAUAUACGCUCCAAUAUUACCAUUUUUUCCAUUACGCAUCACCCGAAAAGCUUAGUUUGGACAUAAUCUUAGGGUUAUCUCCAAGUUUCUUUUUUAUUCAACAGGUUUAUUCAUGAGUCAACCAAAUAUUGGACUUGGGUAUUAGUUCGGUAUUGGUCAUGGCCGAGGUGGAUAUGACUUGGCCGAGUCGUACCGGUCUUAAUUGAGAUUUUGAACCCUAACUGAACUCUCCAUUUAUUUGCACAAUACCCAUUUUUUUAAGGCUAACAGAAUAAGCCUACGAAGAUACAAGAGGAUUGAGAUGCAAAUAUAGGAAUGAAGAUGAAAAGGGUUUGAAGACUCUUAACUCUUUAUACUUUUUCACUUUCAUGGGUUUCAAUCUUCUUCUCUCAUCCACCAUUUUUGCUCCAAUAUUACCAUUUUUUUCCAUUACCCAUCACCCAAAAAGCUUAGUUUGGACAUAAUCUUAGAGUUAUCUCAAAGUUUCUUUUUUAUUGAACAAGUUUAUUCAUGAGUUAACCAAAUAUUGGACUCGGGUAUCGAUCCAAUACCGAUCAUGGCUGAAGCGGAUAUGACUCGAUCAAGUCGUACGAGUCUCAAUCGAGAUUAUGAACCCUAUGUGAGCUCUUUAGUACUCUACACAAUACCCAUUUUUGAAGUCUCACAAAAUAGUCCUACAAAGAUGCAAGAGGAUAGAGAUGCAAAUAAAUGGAUGGAAAUCCAAAGGGUUUGAAGACUCUGAACUCUCCAUAUUUCUUCACUUUCAUGGGUUUCGAUAUUUUUCUCUUAUCCACCAUUUCCACUUCGAUAUUACUAUUUUUUUCCAUCACCCAUCACCCUAAGAGCUUAGUUUGGACAUAAUAUUAGGGUUAUCUCAAAUUUUCUUUGUGAUUCAACAAGUUUAUUCAUAACUCAACCAAAUAUUGAACUCGAGUAUCGGUCCGAUAUCGGUCAUGGUGGAGGUAGAUAUGAGAACAACCAAAUAUUCAAUUUUUUUUUAAAUUUAUAAUGUGCAUUUACUACAAAGCAAUCUUUAAAAUAAAAUAAAACUACCAUUGAUAAUUAGGUUACACUUGACAGCAAUUUUAGGAAGUGUUUUUAAUCUUUCUAAUACUUGAAAAAUAACAAUAGUGGUUUUAAGAAACGUUUCUAACUUUUUUAAUGGACAAUUGCAAAUUAGGAAAUAAAUAUGUAAAUGGGUACCAAUUUUUCUAAAAGCUUUUAAACUUUUUUCUAUUUUGGGUUAUAAUGUGUAUCAUGUUAUUAACAAUAUUUUUGCUUUUAUUUCAUGUCAAAUAAUAUAAUUUUUAACUUUAGAAGAGUCACAAACAAUAUUUGUGUUUACCCUAAAAUGCUUUUUCCUCGUAUGCAUUUCAGGGUGUAGGGAUUCUCAUGGAAAAUACUUCCCAUGGCUGGCAUGGGAGUUGAAGAAUUGUUGCAUGUGCAGCCAAAGGUAAAAGAGGGAUUCAUGUGUUACCUGAAUUGCAUUUUAUCUGAUUUACAAUUUGAUUAUAUGUAUGUUUGUGCAGUCUGGUGCUUGUGUUGCUCAUUUCUAUAUGUGCUAAAUGGAGGAUUUCUUUUUCAUCCAAAACCCUAGUAUUGCAGGAGAUAGUUGCUUUAUGGGUCAGUCUUCUUACCAAAUCUUAACUCUAUGCUGACUUCUUUUUCUUUGAUUUCCUACUCUUUGUUCUGCAUAUGUGUUUUCAACCUAACUAUUUUCAUAGGGAUCAAUGGAAAUUAUGAUUUUUCAAAGAAUAUUGAAAGUAGAAGAAAAUUAAGCAUUUGUGAAAUAUGGAGGAGCAAAAUGAUUUCUUAGUUUUAGCACAUCAGUUUACAGAAGAUAUUGUAAUUUCACAUGAUGAAAAUGAAGAGGGGAACCCAGAUUUCCAAUGGAGGGACUUUUUGGGCUUGGGGGACUAGAAAUGCAAGAUAUAAGUGCAAAUAUUGGAGUUACCCAACCAUAAAUCUGUCCGAAAAACUCGCUUUAAGGGGAGGAUGUUCCUCAUACACAAGAUGGAUUUAGCAUGGGGAUAAUUAGAUCCUAGAUGUUUGUAAGACUCAAUUCUAUCCAGUUUGCGUCCUUUUGGGGCUCCAUCAUGUGGGUUCUUUCCCCUUUUCGGUCAUCUUAAACUGGCUCUGAUGGUUGUUCGAUUGGUAACUCCGAAAGAUCAGAAUAGCUGUAUCUGCUAAGAUAAUGGAUGAAAUGAUAUGCUAACUUGGCAACUCGAAAAUAAUGGCCCGUGUCUUCCUCCUAUUAGGGUAUAUUGAAUUCUAAUUCAAGAAAAUUUUGCAGUAUUCAGGGUGGAAGCAGAUCACUUAAUCUUUUGUAGUAGGGAUUUAAGAGGUUUAGGCAGAUGCUUGAAGGUUUAUUCAUACUUAUUGUGAAGCAGAUCAUCUGGAAAACUGGGGAGUUAUCAUGCUGAAGACAUUUUUCUCCUUAUUGAAGUUUUCCAAACAAACCCUUCCAUCUAGGGUGAAUUAUUGGUUUCAUUUGGCUGAGUAGGAGAUUUCAGAUAGAAGCCAUCAAUCCUGGUCCUCAAGGGUGGAGUGGUAUGAUUACCAUCUAUGUAAAGACUUUGAAAUUUUUUUGUCAUUAACAAGCAUUUGUUGAUAAAUUUGCUUACCAUCUUCCACAAAUGAAAUUAUGGUUUUGAGUGUAUAAUUAUAACUGCUUAUGAUGAAAGGGAAAAACACCGACAAAGGACUCACUGGUUUUUUCUGCACAAAUGGGAGCAAUCUGUUAUUCUGGUUUCUUAUUACACACAAGCAAAACGAUCAUUUAUAGUUGUAAAUAGAGAGCUCUUCUUCUUACCUAGACUGAAAGUGACGGAGGUUUACUAUUUUAAGUUCAGUGACAUGUCCACAUUUUCUUCCUUUGCCUUACGAAGUGUUUCAAAUCCCAUUUCUUUCCAGACAUUCUUUAGCCUUUGAGCAACCGAAGAGAUAAGGGGACGCUUUUGGGGGUUCUCUUCUGUGCACAUCAUCCCUGCAUCGAGCAUGUGGAUACAGCAUUGCUCAAGCUUAUGUAAAGCACCACUCCCCUCUUCCAAAUAUGCUUCGUGCUUCAGUGAGAUGUCUACAAUAUCCAAAACUUGAUUUGGAAAAGCAGAACACACCCAUUUCCUUAGAUCAAGUCCAUCUGAAAACAUUUCAUUCGUUGGUCUCUUCCGUGUUAUCAUCUCUAACAUCAUCACUCCAAAACUGUAUACAUCUCCUCUUGUUGAGACAUCGAUCCCCUGCCCAUAUUCUGUGUACAAGCAAUAGGAACUAUUAGCUGAAUCACUGUACUUUUAUUUAUAUCCCUUCAAAUUAGGAUAGUCUGUUUAAAGAAAGAGACAUGGAUAGAUGCAGUUGGUUCAUAUUAACUAUCUGAAUAUCACAAGAAUGCAAGCAUCCUUCUUUUUCAUUUAGAUGUAAAUGCUUCUCAUUGGAAAAGCGAUUAGGAAACUAUCUGAAUAUCACUGUACUUAAAGAAAAGCGGGAGAAUAACCAACAAGACAUACCAUGUUGUUAAACAAAUUUAUCAUAAUGGUAUAUGAGGAAACACACAAAACCCUAUUUUUUCUUCUCGACUUCUAUCCUAUUAUUAACAGUUAGUUCUCUAGAAUAUAUGACCAUUGGGUAGGCAGUCAAAUGAAUGAAAACUAGACUAGUUUGAAGUUCAUGUGAGAUGAAAGAUUGGCAUUCAUGAUUAAAAGUAAUUAUCUAGUCUGAUAACUUAUCAUUUACUUCUCAGAUUUGAAGGUAGGUCGCUAACUUUUCCAAGAAGAUUCAAAGGGAUUAUGAAGCAUAGGAUUGAAGAUUUAUAUAAGGUAAUCAAAUGCAUACCUGGGGGGAUAUACCCGACAGAUCCUCGUAGAAAAGCAGUUGUGGUAGUAACAUGUCCUCUUGGUUUGUCACCUGAAAUGAGCUUUCCAAUACCAGAAUCUCCUACAUGAGCCACCAUAUCAUUGUCCAAAAGAACAUUUUGUGGUUUCAGGUCACAGUGUACAACUUGAACAGGACAACCCUCAUGAAGAUACUCCAAGCCAUUUGCAACAUCUAUUGCUAUUCCCAUUCUUUCCCUCAAUUUUAAUUCACUACCUCCUUCAUCUGACCCACCAGGGUAAAGAUGCUGUUCCAAGUUCCCAUUGCCUAUAUACUCGAGAACAAUAGCCUUGAAUCCUGAAUUCCAGGUCGAUCCUAUCAUUCUAACCAGAUUCCUAUGUCUAAUUUCAGACAGUAUUUGACACUCCCUUUUAAAACUUCUGUAACCCUGAACACGCUCUUCUUGCAGAACCUUAACUGCCACAACAGUUUUUCCAUCAUUGAUGAUAGCUUUAUACACCCUACCAAAACUUCCUUCCCCUAAUAGAUUAGCCUCAUCAAAACCGCCAGUAGCAAUUUCGAUUUCCCUUUCAGUUAAAGUUUGGGUUCCAUGAUGGGUUGGGGAAUACAUUAGAAUUGCAGUCUCCGCACCUGCACUCCUAUUUUUGAAGAAGAAACGACGAACAGUGAGGGCGAUCAGCACAAAGAGAAGCAGAGAACAAGUUAAUAUUGCAAACAGGUAAUAAAUCCAUUUCCUUUUCUUGUGCUUUUGUUUCAGAAUUUCACAUGGAUGGAGACCCAUAAGUUUGGUGCCACCACAGAGCCCCAUAUUCCCCAUGAAUGAGCUGCUUCCUAGAUUUUUAUACCUCCCACUAUUUGGAACCUCUCCUGUUAAUCUGUUAUACGAUAAAUUGAGAUUCUUGAUCUUCUGGCUGUCACCAAUCCAGAUUGGAACAUUUCCUGUUAAAUUAUUGAAAGCCAAGUCCAGAUAUCCUAGAUCAAUGAUUUGCUUCAGGGACUCUGGGAUUGUACCUUCAAGCAUGUUGUGAGAGAGGUUCAGAUACUCCAUUGAAAUGCAUCUUCCAAUCGAACUUGGUAUCACUCCGAAGAAUUUAUUCGCUGACAAGUCAAUUGCCAGCACAGAUGCCAGAUUUCCAAUACUAGCAGGUAGUUCUCCUUCAAGAUUGUUGUUCGAAAGGUUGAGUGAAAGAGCCAGGUUUGAGAAAUGACCAAUUUCUGUGGGAAGAGACCCUUGUAAGUUGUUAAAAGACAAAUCAAGAAGCAUUAGAAGAGAACAUUGGGUGAGUUCGAUGGGAAUUUUCCCUGUGAGGUGGUUGUGAGACAAGUAAAGAUAUCUCAACUGUGACAGAUUACCAAGAGAAGAUGGGAUUGUCCCACUAAUCAAAUUAUCACUAAGUUCCAGUAAACCAAGGUUAGCCAUCUGCCCAAGUUCAUCUGGAAUUGGCCCAAGAAGUUUGUUUCUUCCCAAGUGUAAUCUCUGCAACUGCCUAAGCUUCCCAAUUGUUGCAGGAACUCCAUUCAAAAAAUUAUACCACAGGUCUAGAGUCACAAGGCCGCUUAGAUUUCCAAUUUCAGCUGGUAGGUCUCCUGUUAAUUUGUUGUUUCGAAGAUUCAAGUAGUAGAGAUCUUUGGAAAGACUGCCAAUUGAAGCCGGUAAACUUCCUGCAAACAGACAUGCCCCUAAGUGCAGUUUCUGUAGACGUGAACAAUUAGUGAGAGGAGUUAGAAAACUGAGGGAAGAGUUGUUGGAACCGCUCACCAGGUUAUUGCUAUGAAGGUAAAGUCUCUCAAGUUUCUUCAACUUCCCCAACUCAGGAGGGACUUCCCCCUCUAACUGGUUGAGGCUAAGAUCAAGCAGUGUCAGCUGAGAAAGAUUGGACAGGGUCACUGGAAUUUUCCCAGAAAGUUGGUUUUCUUGGAAGUACAAUCUCUGCAAGUUAUGGAGCUUUGACCCCAAUUCGAAAGGGAUUGUUCCCGUUAACCGAUUCUCAAUCAGUGUAAUGUGACGCAGGGCAGUGCAAUUACUGAUGGAUGCAGGUAUGCUUCCUUCCAAAAAGUUGAUGUGGAGGUACAAUAUCUCCAGCUUUGUUAAUGCUCCUAGCUCCUCUGGAAUCCUUCCUGUGAAGUAAUUAACUUGCAAUUCUAAAUCUGUCAGCUUUGUCAGAUUCGAAAGAAACGAUGGUAUAGCUCCAGUGAGGCUGUUCUCAGAGAGACAAAGGUAUGUCAAGUUUGUCAUUUGGCCUAGUACAGCAGGAAUGCUUCCAGUCAGAUUGUUAUAGUCCAAGUCUAUUGUCUCCAGGCUCCAGCAGCCUUGUAUUGAGGCUGGAAUAUUGCCCCCAAGCUUAUUACCACUCAUGUUUAUGAAUGUUAACUCAGAAAGCUCUCCAAUGGUAGCUGGGAUCUCUCCAUACAAGCUGUUGGCUUGCAAAGAGAGGGUGGUGAGAUGGGAUAGAUUGGAUAUGUAUGGUGAGAUAACUCCCUGUAAGCGCAUGUUUAUGAGCUCAAUGGCUAUGACCCGGUUCUUAAGUUGCUGGUGGCAUGUAAUCCCUGUCCAGUUGCAGAAGAACCUGGUUUCAUUCCAAUCUUGGAGAUGACCAUCUGGAUCACCUGUUAUGCCUUGUUUGAAUUUGAGCAGAGAUUGACAAUCAGUGGAGUUUUUGCAGAGGAAUGUGGAAGUUGAUAGUAGAGCAAGACAACUAAGAGAGAAAAACACUGCCACAGCAACGGGAUUGUUCUGAUUGUAUGCCAUUCUCUCUCUCUCUCUCUCUCAGUGUGUGUGUACAGCUUUUGGAAUUCGAUGUUAGAUUUCAGGCCAAAAGUUUUUUUUCUCACUUGUUAGGUAAGAUGGGAUGAACAAUCAAUUUUCUUAAAAGUUUAAACUUAACGUGUAUCAUACUUUUCAACACUCGACGGGAUCAAUGGUAGAAGUUUAAAUAGAUGGGCUCAGUUGCUCAAAUGGUUCAGACAACUUGGCCUAGUGAGGGGCAGGUGGUGAGCCCUCAUUUAUCACUGGGACCAUAGAGCAAGACUUUUUGGUAUUGCCAUCACCUGUCUUAACUUCAUUCAACCUCUUCAAUGCUGUUUGACAUUUUCUUCCGUGACAGAAUUAAUAGCUAUGCAGUUUCCCAAAAUUUGCUCCGAACCCAUUGUCAUUUUUUUUUCUUCAUAUUUUAUAUUUUGUAUUUAUUUAUUUUUAUAUUAUUAUCAUUUAUUAUUUAUUUUAUUUUUCUUUCUUUUUCUUUUAUUUAUUUUAUUUUCUUCUUCCUUUCUUCCUCCAUGCAUGCACUACCAUUGUCACUUUUUUCUCUUUCUAAGGAUUUGCAAUUGACUCUAUUGAUAUUUUGUUGGUUGAGCAUGGAUUUAUGACUUAUAACACACACAUGGAAGGUUGAAUUUCAUGAAAGAAAAUGAGGGUUAGAAAAAUAAUAAAUGGGAAACAUUGAGCUUAUUGUGGGUUUGAUUUGGUACAAAUUCUUUUGUAUAUAUCUACUUGGGUAUACAAUUGAAUAUUUAAUUUAGGAAAAUUCAAAAAAUUGUUUUCAAUGAAAUUAAAAAAAAAAAUUAAUAACAAUUGCCUGGAAAUUUAUUUAUUUAAUAAACAUUGUUUUGUCAAUAAAAUUGUCAUCAAAGUUAAUUUUUAAUAAAAUUAUCUAAAAAAGUGAAUUUAUAAAUGAAAUUCUAUUUCCUUAAUUUAAAUGGGAUAAAAAGUAAUUUUUGUAAAUUAAAGUCUUAAAUAAUUUUUUCAUAAUAAUAGAACGAGAAUCUUUUUAGCAAAUUGAACUUAUACAAAUUAUUUUCUUUUCGUAAAUAAAGUUUGUAAAGAAAUUAUUUUCUUUAUAAAUAAAAUCAAAAUGAAAUAUUUUUACAACUAAAAGAAUAUUUAAUUGAGCAAGUGAUGAACUAUUUGCUUGUUUAAGUAACCUUUUGAAAUGUUCCCUCAGCAUAAUGGUAGUACAAUAAGAGGGUUUAUUAUGUACUUCUUUCUAUAUGGACUUUGGGUAUAAUAAAAACAAUGCUUUCUCUCUCUCUCUCUCUCUCUCUCUCUCUCUCUCUCUCUCUCCCCCUAGUCCACAGGUUUACACCCUCAGCUUUACCCUGGACUAAGUCCUGAAACCCAAAGAUUAUGCAGAAUCAAACUCUUAAAGUCUACAGCAUGAGUUGAAGAAAAAAGGAUGAGUAUUUAAUGUAGUAGUUGAGGAAUGAUUCAAUGUUUGAAAUAUAAAAAAUGCAAUCCAUUGAACACUUAGCUGGACUAUCUGCUUAUUGUAUACAUAAAACAUAGACUAAUCCGAAGACUUCUAUGUUAUAACUUUAGAAUUUUCAUAUCCAAGGUUUUCACUUCUUUCUCAUCAGAAGACAAAGAUUGUAACUGUUGCAGAAAACCUAACAACCUAGUUUAUUUGUUAAGGUCCCUUUCUCUCAUAAGACAUAAAUAUAUUCACUAUCAAACACCAUAAUGAUAAUAAUAAUGAUCUUCUUUUUGCUGUAUAUACACUACUUUAGAGUUUGUUCAAUGUUUGGUUACCAAGAAAACAGAAGGACUGAUCUGCUGCAUUAAAAGGUUAAGUAAUCCUGAAUACUUUCACUUCAUUUUGCCAUAUGUAGUUCUUCCAUUAGCUAGCCAUUUGGAACUAAAUCUUGUGGAGAACUUUUCAUAUUGGAGAUGGAUAUGAAAUUGGAUCUGCCUCCACCUCAUUGAACUUCACUUUCAACAUAUGCAUUGAGAAUAUUUAAGUUAAGAUCAGUAUACUAACUAACCCUACAUAAAUUAACAUGUAUUGGUGAAAACACUUAUCCUUGUAAGUGAGAAAGCAAAAAAAAAAAAAGAAAAAAAAAAAAGACCUACCCAUUGAAGACCAUCUAUAAAUUGACAUGUUUCUCAUGCAAAAAUUUUCACCCCUCACCUAAACACAAAGAUUUGUGAUUGUUUGGAGACAGUACUCUAACAAUGGAGAAAGGUGUUAGUUUCCUAGUAACUGUGGCCCUCAUGGCAUUGGCUUCAUCUUUUGCCUCUGCCUCUGAUCCAAGCCCACUGCAGGACACUUGCGUUGCCAUUGGGGAACCCAAGAAUGCUUGUAUUUCUUUAGUAACCAAUGAACUUGUCACUAUUUUCACUGAUCUUUCCAAUUCAAUAUUGGGCACAUUAAUGCAGUAGCCAUUGCUGGUCUAAGCAGCCAAAAUCCAGGUGUAAUCACCAUAUCCAAUGCAGUGUUUGGAUCAAAUCCACCAAUCAAUCCUGAUUUCCUGGCAACGGCCUUCCAGUUGGACAAGAAGGUGGUUGAAUUCCUUCAAGCACGAUUCUAGUGGGGAAAUAGAGAAAAUGAAGAAGCUAUGAACCUUUGAUUUGCUUGCUUGAAUGACUAUUUGUGAUGUUCAAUUACCUCAUUACAAUAAGAGGGGUUUAUUACUUUAUUUUGUAGCUCUUUUGGUGUGGACUUUGGUCCUAAUAUUAAAAUAAAGCAGUUUGUCUGUUAUGCAUCUUCUUCUGUCUCCAUCUCAAUAUUUGUCUUAAAAAAUCUUAUCUUGUGAAAAAACAACUCUCAGUUGAUUGAUUAACCUGCAUGUGCAGAAUGUUUAUUAAGAAUGAAUACUUAACUAGUUGUAAAACAGUACUACUGCUACUUCCAGCAUACUGCUGGCAGAAUUGGUGAUGAAGGAAUGAACAUUGAGGCAACAACUGCUGAGAAUUCAAAAAUAAAAAAGAUGCCAUUUUGCUUCUCUAUAUUUUCCCAUUAUAACUCAUCAACCGAGAUCGAAGAAACUAAUUAAGAUGUCCAAGUAAACCAUUUGAAUGGUGGGAGAAGCAUAAGUGUCAUGAAAAUUGUGAAGAAAGAAUGGAAAUGAAAACCCAGAAAUCUUAUGACAUCUACUGUAGACAAAUUAAUGUCUUAAAUAAUCUUUUCAUAAUAAUAGAACGAGAAUCUUUUUAGCAAAUUGAACUUAUACAAAUCAUUUUCUUUUCAUAAAUAAAGUUUAUAAAGAAAUUAUUUCCUUUAUAAAUAAAAUCAAAUUGAAAUAUUUUUGUAAAUAAAGUUCUAAAAAUUCAUUCUUUUUCUAGUAAAAGUAAGUCAAAAUAAUUUUUAUUGUCAAAUUGGAAUUUUUUGAAUAAAUUCUAUCCAAAUAAAAUUCAAUCAAAUCAUUUAUUGGAAAUAAAUAAAUAAAUUAAAAUCUUGAAAAAGUAAUAUUUAAAAUAUCUUUUUGUAAUCAAUUUAAUAAAUCGGGGUGUAUAAUUCUAAUGUCAUUUAUUUUGUACAUUUUUGUAAUUUAAUUUUAUAAUUAUUUUCUUGUAUAUUAAUUUGUGUCUUUAAUCUUGAUAUUCAUGAUUGAUCAAUUAACUGUCAUAAUUCAUUUUGUUUGUUUAGUAAAGAUUGUUAGUAUACAUGCUUAGAGGGGUAUUACCACUUAUUAUUGUACCUUUCUGAUAGACAACUUGACCCUUGAAUAUAGACUUGAUUUUACAGACAUGUCUUUUCUAAAUGAGGAUUUAUACAAAAUUUUCUUUCUUAUUUUAUUUUCUCUUUUAAAAAAUAAAUUAAAAUAAGUGGCAAUCCUAAUUUUUUUAUAUAAAAAAAAAAAAUCAAAAUUUCACAAUAAAAAUGAGUCUCACUGUCGAGUGGGAACACACGCAAAAAAUACGGGUCAACAUGUAUCCAAUUGAUUGGGGUCAAUGUCAAGAUGUAUGAUAAAGAUGCAAAAUUUGAAUAUGAAUCCUACCAUUGAUUGAAUCUUGAACUACCUGAUACUGGUUGUAACAAGUGAGAUAAGUUGCUAAGGUUUGCAUUGAAAUCCUCAAUUGAAAGUUACUAGUCAUCCAAAUAUGUAUAUAAAUCAAAGUGCACACAAUUGAUUUUCUUUCUCUUCUAAAUCCAAGAAAUCAACCUCCUUAAGCAAAAGACCUUAGAAUUCUUAGAGUGUGUUUGAUAGUGAUUUUAGGAAGUGUUUUUAACUUUUUUAAUAAUUGAAAAAUAAGAAUUUUGAAGUGUUAAAAAUGUUAGAAACGCUUCCUAAAAUCACUAUCAAACGCACUUUUAAUGUAAUUUGCUCUAUGUACCACUUGAUGUGGAUGUUAAGAUUGAUAUCCUUGGUCAUUGCCUAUAAUCCUAUAUCUAUAAUAGCAAGAAGACAUACAUUGAAACAUGAAUACCCUUUCACUAUGUUUGGUUUAUGGAAAAUACUAAGAAAAGAAAAUGUUCUGAAAAAUGUUUUUCUUAUAUUUAGUUUUAUUAUGAAAAAUAAGAAAAAAAUAAAAUAUAAUUAUAAUUAAUUAAAAUUUUAUGUAUUUUAAAAUUAUUUAAUAUUUAUAUAAUGAAGGAAAAUAAAUGAAACAAGCUUGAAAAAGUAUAUAAAAAUAAUUUAUUAAUUAUAACUUGUAUGCGACUAUUUUGUACUUUAAUCCCGUUUUUCUUUUAUUCUCUUGUAGGUACCUUGAUUUUAUAUAUUUGUAUCUUUAUUCGAUGAUUUAGAUUUCAUAUAUUUGUAUCUUUAAUUGAGAUUGCAAGAUCCGUACGGAUUCAGAUUAGGGAUGACAACGGUAUGGGCUUGAGGCAAGUUACUCAUAUCCCAAUCCAUUAUAUUUAUUCGUAUAUGUUAUCAUCCCCACCAAAAAAAGAAAUUAAAUGGGAAUAGGAAAUUCUCAUGCCUACCCCAUGCUAUCCCAUUAUUUAUUUAUUUAUUUUUCAAUUUUUAUUUCUAAAAUUUUAAGAAAAUUAAUAUUUUAAAUAUGUUAAAAAAAUUGAAAACUGAAAAAAGAAAUCAAUUAAAGAACUUUUUAUUUAACAUUAUACAUAAUUAGGCUGAGGUAGGAUGAAACAAACUCAUACCCAAAAUCACCCUGAAUCAAUCUUGGGUUUUUAAAAAUUUCUCAAAUUCAAGAUGAGACAAAAUCAUAUCCAAAACUAUCUCGAAUCCAUCCUAGAUUUUAAAAAUUUUCUCUAAUUUAUCUAAACUUUAUAUCAUUAUCUCAAAACGAGUACAUUAAGGGUAUGACAAGUACUAAAAAAAAAUUGGUAUAUUGUCAUCCCUAAUCAAGAUCCUAAAAUUUUUCUUUAUGAUAAUGAAAACAACAAUCAUAGUCGUCAUCUCUCUAUCAGUGUACUUUUUAGGUUUGAUCGAAUACACCUUAUGUGUUGCCUUUGGGGCAACCUAGCUCUCUCAAUCAUUGUCUAAAGUUCGGGUGUUUGUUUGUUUUAAUUUUUUUCGACUUUUUUUAAUACUAAAAGUAACUUAAUGACUUUUUUUUAACUUUUUAGUACUUAAUAAAAAUAAAAUAUUAAAAAACCAAAAACUGUGAUGUUUAAUACUUUUAAACACUAUAUAAUUUUAAGUUUUAUUCAAAAUUAAGUAAAAAAGAAAAAAAAAACACUCCUUUGAUGGUCAUCUAAAACUUUUAGGUCAAAGCUUGAUUUGGAGCUCAUUUAAACCUAACCCAAACUUCAACUAAAAAGACCUAUGUCCAACACAAUUAUUAGAGGUGUCCAAUGGGUCAUGUCGGGCCAACACAACCCAUGUUUAUCAGGCCAAUGCGUUGGCUCGACCCAUGCAAGCCAAAUAGGUGGCUUGACAUGGCCCAUAAACCCAUGGGCUAAUCAUGUCGUGUUGUGCCAUGUCGGUGAGUCGCCCCAUGGGCCACACACUUUAAUUAUUAUUUUUUAAUUUAUUUUGUCUUAAGUUUUUUAUUAUUAAAUAAAAUUUCUUUUUGUUACUUUAAACACCUCUAAUAAUUAUACUUUUUAUUUUUUAUAUUUAUAUUUAUCAAGUUUAUAACUGUAAAAUUUAUAAAAAUGUUAGUUUUUUGUUUUUAAAAAUAAUAAAAAGUGAUAUUUAAAGGGUUAAGUGGGCCAACAUGAUGGCACGACGGGUUGUUUCCUUAGGCCCACCACGACCCGCUCCUUUGGGCCAUGCCGGCCUGACUCGAUCUUUUGGCGCACUAGGCCACAGGCCAAAAUGGGUGGCUCGACCCAUUGGACACCUCUAGUAGUUACAUGUCUAGCAUCCAAACGGUAGACCAGGUGAGUUUUGUCAAACCCAACCCAUUCAUCCCCUUUGCUUCAUGUUGGCCACCCGGUUCAGACCAACCAUUGGGUUGAUUUGGGGUCUUGGUUAUUUUUGUUUAAAUAAAUUGCAAAGAAAAAAAAAACUUGGUUUGGAUAAAUAAACUUAAGUUGUUUUUAAAAUAAGCUUUUAUUUGAUUUUUUCUAAAAAAAUUUAUAAAUUCAAUUUGUACAAUAUUAAUUAUAUUUAAUUGAAGUCUUAUUAAAGAUUUAAAAAAAAAUAGUUUUUAAAUUAAAGAUAAAUUAAAAAAAAUCAUAAAAUAUGAAAUUAAUAUUAUAAUAAAAUCAUAAAUUAUGAUUUUUAUUUAAAAUGAUACUAUUUUAAGAUAUGAUUGAUUUAUUUAUUUUGAUAAGAAUGAAUAAUACUAAUUUUAAAAUAAUAAAAGGGUGAUAUAGUUUAUUUGAAAUAAAUUUAAAAAUAAAUAAAAUUUAUUUUUUUAAUACGUAAAUAAGCGAAGUUUUUCAUUAUAUCUACACCUGAGAAUUUAAUCAAGGAUAUAGUAUUUUGAACUAGUUUUGAUUCAUUCCUAUAAUCUUCAUUCAGUCAUUAUGGUUUAGACAAUUGAUAAUUAAUCUGUUGGCAUAAUUGAUUCUGCAAAACAGUAUCCUGAAUUUAGUAUCGAGGGAGGCAGAAACACAGCGAGAGAGAGAGAGAGAGAGAGAGAGAGAGAGAGAGAGAGAGAGAGAUGAUGCUUAACAAUUAACAGACUGCAGACUGCUUUAUUGUAGUAAUAUGCCCAAAGUCCACACCAGAAGAGUUACAACCAGACCCUCUUAUUAUACCAUGUUUGUUACAAUGAGGGAAUUGAACAUCAUGAAUCGUCAUUCAAGCAAGGAAAUCAAAGGUUGACAGCUUAUUCUUUUUCUAUAUUUCCCCACUAGAAUCGUGCUUGAAGGUAUUCAACCACCCUCUUGUCCAACUGGAAGGCCCUUGCCAGGAAAUCAGGAUUGAUGGGUGGAUUUGAUCCAAACAUUGAACUGGCUAUGGUGAUUACACCUGGAUUUUGGCUGUUAAAAGCGGCAAUGGCUACUGCAUUAGUGUGCCCAAUGUUGACUUGGAAGUGAAUGAGACUGAAAGGGAACACAAAAACAUCCCCCUUGUUCAGGACUUUGCUAAUGAAGCGGUGUUCAGGGUUGGAUGUGAUAAAGCCAACAAAGAGUGUUCCCUCCAAGACAAUGAAGACCUCACUGGCACGAGGGUGAAAGUGAGGAGGGUUUUGACCAUUAGGUUCAUAAUCGAUACGAGCCACUGACACCCCAAGAGUGUUUUCUCCUGGUAAUUGAUCAACAUUUAUAAGAUUGACAAUUGAGCCCACAUAAUUUGAUGUGUUUCCUGGAAUAUUCAGCCCUUGAUACAAGAAAUCCUCGGCCACGGUCAGGUUUGGGUUCUUGCAGAACUUCCCAUUUACAAAUACUGCAUGAAGAAGGAAAAAAGAAAAGAUAUAUCAUUAGUAUCAAACCAUACUCACCAUAUCAAUAAAAAGAGAAGUACUGAAAAUAGCUAUAAGAUCAUUGGUUACUAUAGAAAUACCAGCAUUAUUGGGCUCAUCAACGGCAACACAGGUGUCUUCCAGUGGGCUUGGAUCAUAGGCAGAGGCAAGAAAGGAAGCCAAUGCCAUGAAGGCCACGGUUACCAGGAAACUAACGCCUCUCUUCAUUGUUAGAGUACUGCCUCCAACAAUCACAAUCUUUAUCUUUAGGCGGGGAUAAGAAAUUUAGCAUGGAAAAGAUGUUAAUUUAUAGACCAGAGUCGAUGAGUUAGUCUUUGCAUAAACUCACCAAGUCUUCAAUGGGAAGUUUUUUCUUCUUUCUUUUUUCACUUUCGAGGACAAGCGGUUGCACCAAUACAUGUUGAUUUACGUAGGAUUAGUCAGUAAACAGAUCUUAACCAGAAUAUAAAGCAAUGUACAAUCAGGUGGAGGCAGGUCCAAUUUAAUAUCAAUCUGCAUGAUCCAAACGUUUACAUUGUUUCAACAUUUUUGUAUUAUGGUUUUUAUGAACUGUGUUUUUUUGAGUUGUAAGGAAGAAAAACUUAGGUUUAAAGUUCUAGCAUAGAAGAAAAAACCUGUAGAUUAAUUGAUUUUUUAAUCUGAACCAAACACAUGAUCAACUCCAUAAAAACAAGUGGAAAACAAGAAAAAAUGAAUGAUUUUUAAUAUGUAUUUGUGUGAGAAUGAUAGGUAUAGAUUUUUUUUUGAGAUAUACUGCCACAUAAUCUUCAUCCCUUCUAAAAAACGAGAGAGAAAAAAAAAAGAAUGAUUUUUCUGUUUGUAUCUAAGUGAGAAUGAGAUAUAGAAUUUCACUCCAGACGCAUUAAUUUUAUCUCAUACUGCCAUGCUAGACCAAAUCAGCCCUUAACGACAACCACACUGUUUUGUGGGGGGGGGGUUACUUUUGUUCCAUUAUAUUCACAGAAUCUUCAAAUCCAUUCUUUGGAUUAAUCUGCAUGAGGAAAUCUGUUACUGUUAGUGACGGAAACCUGUUAUUGUUAGUACCGGAGUCAACUGUUUGACUGGGUGGGUUCCAAUCAGAUCCUAAGGAAUGGGUCCAAAGGUCAUCCAUUAGAGUUAAUGGAAUUCAUUGUUGUUCUUGUGCCUUGAUGUGUGAGCCCAACACGCACAGAUGCAACUAGGGAUGGCAACGGGGCGGGUUUUUUCGGGUACCCGCCCUGCCCCGCCCCUAAUGGGAUGGGGUUGAAAUUUAAUAAAUGGGUUUUUAACGGGUAUAAGAUUUUUUUUUUUAAACCCGGGGCGGGUUCGGGUAUUGCCCCAUCCCGCCCCGCCCCGCCCCGCCCCGCCCCGCCCCGCCCCGUUUACAUAUAAAAUCAAUUUUAAAAUUUAAUUUAAUUUAAUUUAAAUUUUAAAAUUAAUUUUAUUUUACUAUUUUUAAUAUAUAGAUAAUAAAAAAAAAUUAAUAAAAUAAAUUAUAAAAAAUAUAAUAAUUUUAUUAUUUAUAAAUAUAUUUAUUUUAAUGUAAUUAAAAAUUUUAAAAGCAAUUUUUUUUUUUUUUAAAAAGGAGGCUAAACAGGGCUGGGCGGGGCGGGUUUGGGAAUUUCCCAUACCUGCCCCGCCCCGCCCCGCCCUGCCCCGUUUAAUUUUUUAAACGGGACGGGGAUGGGAAUUAUUUUUAAUAAACGGGGCGGGGUUGGGAUGGGGGCGACCCGUCCCGAACCUGCCCCGUUGCCAUUCCUAGAUGCAACAGUAUGAGUCAUGUGCAGGUAGAUUUGAAUAGACACAUCUUGGCAUCGGGAUGGCUUGAGCAAGGUGUAGUCUCCUACAAUAGGAAGCAUGGUGAACUGAUGCAUCACAUGAGCAAGACUCCUAUUGCAUGAGACAUACUCCUAUCACAUGAGACUUCUAGUCAAAGUGGGAGAUUGAGACCUAAUAUUGCAGGAAGAGAAAGGGACUCUUGACAUGAGAAGACUCCUAAUCGGGAUAGAAAACUAAAUCUUCAUGCAUAAGGAGAUAGAGAGAUGUGGCAUGAGAGUUUUAGAUUCAGUAGGACUUGGAGUCCUACUCAAAUUUGUCAUCUGUUAAGCUUGAGUCGGACGCAAACUAGGACUCAAAAGUUAGUCUCCUAGUAGGAUUAGGAUGGCUUGGUGCAACCUUCAUAAAAGGAGGGCGUGACCCAAUAGGAUGCUCCAAAAAUGGUACCUUACGUGAUAGGAAGGCCCCUUCAAAAGUCAUAUUGCUUGUACCACCAAGACACCACCACUAAGUAUUUGUCCAUAUCUUAAUCCAUGUGUGCAUGGAGAUGAACAUAAAUAUAUAUAGAAAAGAUAAAUAUUAGAAGACAAGUCUCCACAAAGAGACAAAAAUAUAGAAGGCUUCGGUCAACCAAUCCCGCUAUGCGUGGCAAAUGUUUCAGGGGACUGCGUAGGAUUGAACAGCCUUUGCUAGAGGGAAGAUCAAUCUAUGGGCGUGAAUAAAGAGAGAACUGGAGAAGUAUUGGAACAGGCGGGUCACCUCAGUUGACCAGGAAACAUGGCAUUAGUCAACGCAAACCUUGGCUUUCGAUCUCUACAUCGGUGCUGAAUAUUGUUGAACGGAAACACGUGGCCAGCUACAUUGGUUCUAGACAACAAAGGCUGCAACAAUUAACCUGAAAUUGAAAAUUUUGAAAUUUUUUUGAAAACAUAACAUCUUAAGAUGACUGGUAACCUUCUCUUAUUGGUUGGCUCUAAAUCAAAACCACUAUACAUGCAUUGUUCAAUGUAUAUAUGAUGUAGCAUUUUUGUGUUUUGUCUUUUACAAGUUGUAUAUAUUGGAAAAUUCUGACACCAUACAAAAACAUAGAAAAGCCACAAAUACCGCAACUUGCAUAUUUUCAUUUUAUGGCUGAAACUUUUCAAUGAAUCAUUAUCUUUAUUUCAAACUUUAAAAUUUUGAAAACAUAACAUCUUAAGAUGACUCGUAACCUUCUCUUAUUGGUUGGCUCUAAAUCAAAACCACUAUACAUGCAUUGUUCAAUGUAUAUAUGAUGUAGUAUUUUUGUGUUUUGUCUUUUACAAGUUUUAUAAAUUGGAAAAUUCUGACACCAUACAAAAACAUAGAAAAGCCACAAAUACCGCAACUUGCAUAUUUUUAUUUUAUUUUAAUUAUUUAUAGUUGAUUAGGUUUAUGGUAUGCCAUGUUGGAUGCUUUCAGAUUUUACAGAUCUAAGUUACUUUUAUUUUGAGAACGAAUAUUCCAUAAUUCAACCUUUUCCUUUUCUUGUUGGUAAUCAUGAUACAUAAAAUCUAGGAAUGCUAAACACAUCUUUUUUAAAAGUACUAUAUUGUAUUACAAUAGGAAAUGGCUUUUAUCAAAAGAGAAAUAUCCUUAAAUUGAUUAGGCCUAGCUCAUACUUUCAUCAACCAUAUGAUGACAUGAAAAAAAUCAAAGAAGAAAUAUGGGAAAUGGUACGAAAAGAGAUGGGUAGUAAUAACAUGAGACAACAACUUGUUUUACAACUAGUUGUAGCAGAAAAACCAAUGUUUAAAAUGAUAGAAGAGCCCCAACCACCAGAACCACCACUGAAACACAAGGUAUGCAUUUACUUACUAAUAAUACAAGAUUAAUAUAAGUGACAUAAAGCCUAUGUAAAUGAUAUUAUUUGUUGUAUUGAAGGUAAUUAAAUGUAAAUUAGCAGUGGAAAGAAAAGAAAAUGUUGUUCCAACUGGUACACUAAUAGAAGAAAAAGGAUCGAAUAGGUUGGUUGUAAUAAAUGCUGCACACAAGCCAGAUGCUAGACUCCCAUUUCCAAAUCCAUAUGAGAUUAUCAAUGUUGGGGAUGCUAUUGGCUUUGAGCUUGACUGGCCAACAAGCCUUGUCAUACUUGAAACUGAACAUCCUUAGGUAUGUCAUUUUAUGCCUAUAGUAAAUUUGAUUGUAACUUGGUAUUUUAUUGUUUAGGAGUAUAUAUAUCUAACAUUCCUUCCUUUUUCAUAGGUGUUGGAUAAAGGAAAGAAGAAGAUAGUGAAGACACCAAUUUUUUGAAAAUCUAAGCCUCAAAAUCAUUCGGUCAUUAAAAAUUUUCAAAAAUUUGUGGAUGGUUGUCUUGGUAAUGACAAGACAUACCCAAUACAGCUCCCCAUUUCACUUUUUGGUGUCGAAUUUCAAACAUAUAUAUCUAGAGAGGAUUGUGAAUACAUUAUUUCAUCUUUAGAGGUGUCAUCAAACUGCAUCUCCUUCUAUUUAUGGUGUGCACCUUUUAUUUUCAUUUGUUUUUAUUUUUUUAAAUAUGAGUUGCCCAUGUUGAACGAAAUUGGAUAUGACUAAUGAUAAUUUUCUUUUGGUGUUUUGAUACAAUAAUAGGCACAUGCAUGAUCAACUACAUAUUGCCAAAAAGGAAUCACAAUUUAUAUUUGUUAAUCCUUUUACAAUAUCACGAGCAAGCCUUAGUACUCAUCAAACAGAGAAAAGAGCACAAUUGUUGUCAAAACGCUUAAUGGAGUGCCAAGAUGCUAAAUAUGUUUUCAUACCUUACAACCCUGAGUAAGUGACAAAUAUUAUACUUUAAUUUGAGGUUUUAUGAUUGAUUUAUAUUUCUAAUUAGACGCUACUUUUGUUUUUAAUGUUUUAGCUUUCAUUGGGUCUUGGUGGUGAUUGAGCCAAGGAAAAUGAUAGUCCACUAUCUUGACCCUAUGCAUCACAAACUAUUUGAGGACUUAAAGAAUAUCGUAAACAUGUAAGUUCUUCCUAUUAUUUUUCAUAGUAUUAUUUUUUUUUUUUUAUAAAAAAUACAUUCAUCUCAAACACAUUGAACUUAUUUACAUAGGGCACUUCGAAUAUCUACAAAGAAAACAUCUAAAAGGGAGCCAUCUUGGCAACUAGUGCAGGUGACAUCCAAAAAAUUUUCUUUACACAUUAGCUUAUGCAUUUGCACCAUUUAUAUAUAUGAGUACUAAUGUUAUUUUAUAAUUGAUCGAUUAGUGUCCAAGACAAGAAGGAGGGUUCGAAUGUGGCUACUUUGUUAUGAGAUUCAUAAAAGAGAUAAUUUUUUAUCCUACAAUUAUUGCUUCAAAGGUAUUACAAAUUUAAUGAAUUGUACAUAGUUUUAGGCUUCCAAAUGUUAUGCAUUUUAAUGUUAUUUUCUUAUUUGAUUUCAGUUUGGUGAUAAAAAAACAUAUUCUCAAGUAGAAUUCGAUGAAAUUAGAGAAAAAUGGGCUACUUUUGUGCUACAACUAAUCAUGAAUCAUGUUGAUGCAUCAUGAUCACCAUGCAUGGUGAGUCCUUUAGCUACUACAUGAAUUUUUCCAUAGGUUCUUUGAAUAAUGUUUCUAUUUGAAAAAAAAAAAGAAAAAAAAAUAGUUCUUAGAUUUUUUUCAUUUAUGAUAACAUCGAUCCAUGUUUAUUUUCUUCAAUAAAAAUCUAUAAAACUCAUUAAACUAUGAAAUGCAAGUAUACACUUUUGGGAUGGUGGAAUGGAGAAUAAAAAGAAAGAAGAAGGCAACAAGAUUUUGGGUUUUUAAAUGCAACUCUUAUGUCAUACGUUGUAGGACAUAAAUGUUAAUUUAAUUAGUACUGAGAAAUUUAGAUUUUUAGAUGGGACUUUUAUGUCAUUUUAUAGUUAGCCGGUUUUAUGCUUAUGAAUUGGAGGUAUACAUGAAUCUUGGGAUCUUUAACAUUUCUAAAUCAUGUUUUGGUAUGUAUUCACUCUUCUUUUUUUAGUUUUGAUGGGUUUGAUAUGUUGGAUGUACUAUCUUUUUGUGAACAUUUGAUAUACAAAUAUUAUUAGAUGAUCAAUGUAUUAUGAGUUAUUCUAGAAACAUUACAGAAAAAUGAGUUAAAUAUAAUAUUAUUGUUAUAUUUAUGGACAAAAAAUAAAUAGGUUAAUCUUACUUAUUAAUUCAUAAGCAUUACAAAAAUUUAUAACUAAAAGCAAUCAUAUCUUCCACAAUAAUUUACAAUGAUGUGACACCAUUACUCAAAGGUGAUGCAUUUAAUAUGACAUUAUAAUUCAAAGAUGAUGCAUUUAAUGCGAUACCCUCUCAUCACUAGAAAUAUAUGGUGUCACUUCCGAAUGGGUCACCAUUUAUCUACUUUGGUGUCACUUCCAAAUACGUUACCAAUUGGUACCCUCUAUGGUAUCAGUGGAGAAGGUGACGCUAUGUUGUAGUGACACCCUAUGUUUAUGGUAACUCGUUAUAAAUGUCACCAUAUAUCUUUUUCCCUAUAGUGUAUAGCUCCAGUGAGGCUGUUCUCAGAGAAACAAAGGUAUGUCAAGUUUGUCAUUUGGCCUAGUACAGCAGGAAUGCUUCCAGUCAGAUUGUUAUCGUCCAAGUCUAUUGUCUCCAGGCUCCAAUAGCCUUGUAUGGAGGCUGGAAUAUUGCCUCCAAGCUUAUUACAACUCAUGUUUAUGAAUGUUAACUCAGAAAGCUCUCCAAUGGUAGCUGGGAUCCCUCCAUACAAGCUGUUGCCUUGCAAAGAGAGGGUGGUGAGAUGGGAUAGAUUGGAUAUGUAUGGUGAGAUAACUCCCUGUAAGCGCAUGUUUAUGAGCUUGAUUGACUCUAUUGAUAUUUUGUUGGUUGAGCAUGGAUUUAUGACUUAUAACGCACACGUGGAGGGUUGAAUUUCAUGAAAGAAAAUGAGGGUCAGAAAAAUAAUAAAUGGCAAGACAUUGAGCUUAUUGUGGGUAUGAUUGGGUACAAAUUCUUUUGUAUAUAUCUACUUGGGGUAUACAAUUGAAUAUUUAAUUUAGGAAGAUUCAAAAAAUUGUUUUCAAUGAAAUUCAAUAAUAAUAAUAAUAAUAAUAACAAUUGCCUGGAAAUUUAUUUAUUUAAUAAACAUUGUUUUGUCAUCAAAGUUAAUUUUUAAUAAAAUUAUCUAAAAAAAUGAAUUUUUAAAUAAAAUUCUAUUUCCUUAAUUAAAAUGGGCUAAAAAGUAAUUUUUGCAAAUUAAUGUCUUAAAUAACCUUUUCAUAAUAAUAGAAUGAGAAUCUUUUUAGCAAAUUGAACUUAUACAAAUCAUUUUCUUUUUGUAAAUAAAGUUUGUAAAAAAAUUAUUUUCUUUAUAAAUAAAAUCAAAUUGAAAUAUUUUUACAACUAAAAGAAUAUUUAGUUGAGCAAGUGAUGAACUAUUUUCUUGUUUAAGUAACCUUUUGUAAUGUUCCCCCAGCAUAAUGGUAGUACAAUAAGAGGGUUUAUUAUGUACUUCUUUCUAUAUGGACUUUGGGUAUAAUAAAAACAAUGCUUUCUCUUUCUCUCUCUCUCUCUCUCCCCCUCAGUCCACAGGUUUAGACCCUUAGCUUUACCCUGCACUAAGUCUUGAAAGCCAAAGAUUAUGCAGAAUCAAACUCUUAAAGUCUACAGCAUGAGUUGAGGAAAAAAGGAUGAGUAUUUAACGUAGUAGUUGAGGAAUGAUUCAAUGUUUGAAAUAUAAAAAAUGCAAUCCAUUGAACACUUAGCUGGCCUAUCUGCUUAUUAUUGUAUACAUAAAACAUAGACUAAUCCGAAGACUUCUAUGUGAUAACUUUAGAAUUUUCAUAUCCAAGGUUUUCACUUCUUUCUCAUCAGAAGACAAAGAUUGUAACUGUUGCAGAAAACCUAACAACCUAGUUUAUUUGUUAAGGUCCCUUUCUCUCAUAAAACAUAAAUAUAUUCACUAUCAAACACCAUAAUGAUAAUAAUAAUUAAUGAUCUUCUUUUUGCUGUAUAUACACUACUUUAGAGUUUGUUCAAUGUUUGGUUACCAAGAAAACACAAGGACUGAUCUGCUGCAUUAAAAGGUUAAUAUGUAGUUCUUCCAUUAGCUAGCCAUUUGGAACUAAGUCUUGUGGAGAACUUUUCAUAUUGGAGAUGGAUAUGAAAUUGGACCUGCCUCCACCUCAUUGAACUUCACUUUCAACAUAUGCAUUGAGAAUAUUUAAGUUAAGAUCAGUAUACUAACUAACCCUACAUAAAUUAACAUGUAUUGGUGAAAACACUUAUCCUUGUAAGUGAGAAAGCAAAAAAAGAAAAAAAAAAAAAGAAAAAAGAGAGAGACCUACCCAUUGAAGACUGUCUAUAAAUUGACAUGUUUCUCAUGCAAAAAUUUUCACCCCUCGCCUAAACGCAAAGAUUUGUAAUUGUUUGGAGACAGUACUCUAACAAUGGAGAAAGGUGUUAGUUUCCUAGUAACUGUGGCCCUCAUGGCAUUGGCUUCAUCUUUUGCCUCUGCCUCUGAUCCAAGCCCACUGCAGGACACUUGCGUUGCCAGACCCAAGAAUGCUGGUAUUUCUUUAGUAACCAACGAACUUGUCUCUAUUUUCACUAAUCUUUCCAAUUCAAUAUUGGGCACAUUAAUGCAGUAGCCAUUGCUGGUCUGAGCAGCCAAAAUCCAGGUGUAAUCACCAUAGCCAAUGCAGUGUUUGGAUCAAAUCCACCCAUCAAUCCCGAUUUCCUGGCAACGGCCUUCCAGUUGGACAAGAAGGUGGUUGAAUUCCUUCAAGCACGAUUCUAGUGGGGAAAUAGAGAAAAUGAAGAAGCUAUGAACCUUUGGUUUUCUUGCUUGAAUGACUAUUUGUGAUGUUCAAUUACCUCAUUACAAUAAGAGGGGUUUAUUACUUUAUUUUGUAGCUCUUUUGGUGUGGAUUUUGAUCCUGAUAUUAAAAUAAAGCAGUUUGUCUGUUAGGCAUCUUCUUCUGUCUCCAUCUCAAUAUUUGUCUUAAAAAAUCUCAUCUUGUGAAAAAACAACUGGAUAACAACUCUCAGUUGAUUGAUUAACCUGCAUGUGCAGAAUGUUUAUUAAGAAGGAAUACUUAGCUAGUUGUAAAACAGUACUACUGUUACUUCCAGCAUAAGUGUCAUGAAAAUUGUGAAGAAAGAAUGGAAAUGAAAACCCAGAAAUCUUAUGACAUCUACUGUAGACAAAUUAAUGUCUUAAAUAAUCUUUUCAUAAUAAUAGAAUGAGAAUCUUUUUAGCAAAUUGAACUUAUACAAAUCAUUUUCUUUUCGUAAAUAAAGUUUGUAAAGAAAUUAUUUUCUUUAUAAAUAAAAUCAAAUUAAAAUAUUUUUGUAAAUAAACUAAAAAUUAAUGUCCUAAGUAAAAAUCAUUUUUAUUGUCAAAUUGGAAUUUUUUGAAUAAAUUCUAUCCAAAUAGAAUUGAAUCAAAUCAUUUAUUGGAAAUAAAUAAAUAAAUUAAAAUCUUGAAAAAGUAAUAUUUAAAAUAUCUUUUUGUAAUCAAUUUAAUAAAUCGGUUUGUAUAAUUCUAAUGUCAUUUAUUUUGUACAUUUUUGUAAUUUAAUUUUAUCAUUAUUUUCUUGUAUAUUAAUUUGUCUCUUUAAUCUUGAUAUUCAUGAUUGAUCAAUUAACUGUCAUAAUUCAUUUCGUUUGUUUAGUAAAUAUUGUUAGUAUACAUGCUUAGAGGAGUAUUACGACUUAUUACUGUACCUUCCUGAUAGGCAACCUGACCCUUGAAUAUAGACUUGAUUUUACAAACAUGUCUUUUCUAAAUGAGGAGUUACACAAAAUUUUCUUUCUUAUUUUGUUCUCUUUUAAAAAAUAAAUUAAAAUAAGUGGCAACCCUAAUUUUUUUAUAAAAAAAAAAAAAAAAUCAAAUUUUCACAAUAAAAAUGAGUCUCACUGUCGAGUGGGAACACACGCAAAAAAUACGGGUCAACAUGUAUCCAAUUGAUUGGGGUCAAUGUCAAGAUGUGUGAUAAAGAUGCAAAUUUGAAUAUGAAUCCUGCCAUUGAUUGAAUCUUGAACUACCCGAUAGUGGUUGUAACAAGUGAGAUAAGUUGCUAAGGUUUGCGUUGAAAAGUUCAGCCAUGGAAAGUUACUAGUCAUCCAAAUAUGUAUAUAAAUCAAAGUGCACAUUCUAAAUCAAAGAAAUCAGCCUCCUUAAGCAAAAGACCUUACAAUUCUUAGAGUAUGUUUGGUAGUAAUUUUAGGAAGUGUUUUUAACUUUUUUAAUAAUUGAAAAAUAAGAAUUUUGAAGUAUUAAAAAAUGUUAGAAACACUUCCUAAAAUCACUAUCAAACGCACUUUUAAUGUAAUUUGCUCUAUCUACCACUUGAUGUGGAUGUUAAGAUUGAUAUCCUUGGUCAUUGCCUAUAAUCCUAUAUCUAUAAUUGCAAGAAGACAUACAUUGAAACAUGAAUACCCUUUCACUAUGUUUGGUUUAUGGAAAAUACUAAGAAAAGAAAAUGUUUUUCUUAUAUUUAGUUUUAUUAUGAAAAAUAAGAAAAAAUAAAAUAUAAUUAUAAUUAAUUAAAAUUUUAUGUAUUUUAAAAUUAUUUAAUAUUUAUAUAAUGAAGGAAAAUAAAUGAAACGAGCUUGAAAAAGUAUAUAAAAAUAAUUUAUUAAUUAUAACUUGUAUGCGACUAUUUUGUACUUUAAUCCCGUUUUUCUUUUAUCCUCUUGUAGGUACCUUGAUUUUAUAUAUUUGUAUCUUUAUUCAAUGAUUUAGAUUUCAUAUAUUUGUAUCUUUAAUUGAGAUUGCAAGAUCUGUACGGAUUCAGAUUAGGGAUGGCAACGCUAUAAGCUUAAGAUAAGUUACUCAUAUCCCAAUCCAUUAUAUUUAUUCGUAUAUGUUAUCAUCCCCACCAAAAAAAGAAAUUAAAUGGGAUGGGACGGGUAUAGGAAAUUCUCAUGCCUACCCCAUGCUAUCCCGUUUUUUAUUUAUUUAUUUUUCAAUUUUUAUUUCUAAAAUUUUAAGAAAAUUAAUAUUUUAAAUAUGUUAAAAAAAUUGAAAACUGAAAAAAGAAAUCAAUUAAAAGAACUUUUUAUUUAACAUUAUACAUAAUUAGGCUGAGGUAGGAUGAAACAAACUCAUACCCAAAAUCACCCCGAAUCAAUCUCGGGUUUUAAAAAAUUUCUCAAAUUCAAGAUGAGACAAAAUCAUAUCCAAAACUAUCUCGAAUCCAUCCUAGAUUUUAAAAAUUUUCUCAAAUUUAUCUAAACUCGUUUAUCAUUAUCUCAAAACGAGCCCAUUAAGGGUAGGACGAGUACUAAAUAAAAUUGGUAUAUUAUCAUCCCUAAUCAAGAUCCUAAAAUUUUUCUUUAUGAUAAUGAAAACAACAAUCAUAGUCGUCAUCUCUCUAUCAGUUUACUUGUUAGGUUUGAUCAAAUACACCUUAUGUGUUGCCUUUGGGCAACCUAGCUCUCUCAAUCAUUGUCUAAAGUUCGGGUGUUUGUUUAUUUUUUUAAUUCAUUUUGUCUUAAGUUUUUUAUUAUUAAAUAAAAUUUCUUUUUGUUACUUUAAACACCUCUAAUAAUUAUACUUUUUAUUUUUUAUAUUUAUAUUUAUCAAGUUUAUAACUGUAAAAUUUAUAAAAAUGUUAGUUUUUUGUUUUUAAAAAUAAUAAAAAGUGAUAUUUAAAGGGUCAAGUGGGCCAGCAUGAUGGCACGAUGGGUUGUUUCCUUAGGCCCACCACGACCCGCUCCUUUGGGCCAUGCCGGCCUGACUCGGUCUUUUGGCGCACUUGGCCACAGGCCAAAAUGGGUGGCUCGACCCAUUGGACACCUCUAGUAGUUACAUGUCUAGCAUCCAAACGUUAGACCAGAUGAGUUUUGUCAAACCCAACCCAUUCAUCCCCUUUGCCUCAUGUUGGCCACCCGGUUCGGACCAGCCUUGACAUGAACGGCAAGGUCCAAUGGAUUAGGUUGAUUUAGGGUCUCGAUUAUUUUUGUUUAAAUAAAUUGCAAAGAAAAAAAAAACUUGGUUUGGAUAAAUAAAUUUCAAUUGUUUUUAAAAUAGGUUUUUAUUUUAUUUUUUGUAAAAUUUUUUAUAAAUUCAAUUUAUACAAUAUUAAUUAUAUGUAAUUGAAGUCUUAUUAAAGAUUUUUUAAAAAAUAGUUUUUAAAUUAAAGAUAAAUUAAAAAAAAUCAUAAAAUAUGAAAUUAAUAUUAUAAUAAAAUCAUAAAUUAUGGUUUUUAUUUAAAAUGAUACUAUUUUAAGAUAUGAUUUAUUUAUUUUUAUAAGAAUGAAUAAUACUAAUUUUAAAAUAAUAAAAGGGUGAUAUAUUUUAUUUGAAAUAAAUUUAAAAAUAAAUAAAUUUUAUUUUUUUAAUACGUAAAUAAGUCAUGUUUUUCAUUAUAUCUACACCCGAGAAUUUAAACUUGACCCAAACUUCAACUAAAAAGACCUAUAUCCAACACAGUUAUUAGAGGUGUCCAAUGGGUCGUGUCGGGCCAACACAAUCCGAUGUUUAUCAGGCCAAUGCGUUGGCUCGACCCAUGCAAGCCAAAUAGGUGGCUUGACAUGGCCCAUAAGCCCAUGUGCUAAUCAUGUCGUGUUGUGCCAUGCCGGUGAGUCGUGCCCCAUGGGCACACACUUUAUUAAAAAUUUUAAUUAAUUUUUUUUAAUUCAUUUUGACUUAAGUUUUUUUAUUAUUAAAUAAAAUUUCUUUUUGUUACUUUAAACACCUCUAAUAAUUAUACUUUUUUAUUUUUUAUACACUUCUAAUAAUUAUACUUUUUUUUUAUAUUUAUAUUUAUCAAGUUUAUAACUGUAAAAUUUAUAAAAAUGUUAGUUUUUUGUUUUUAAAAAUAAUAAAAAGUGAUAUUUAAAGGGUUAAGUGGGCCAGCAUGAUGGCACGAUGGGUUGUUUCCUUAGGCCCACCACGACCCGCUCCUUUGGGCCAUGCCAGCUUGACUCGGUCUUUUGGCGCACUAGGCCACAGGCUAAAAUGGGUGGCUCGACCCAUUGGACACCUCUAGUAGUUACAUGUCUAGCAUCCAAACGUUAGACCGGGUGAGUUUUGUCAAACCCAACCCAUUCAUCCCCUUUGCUUCAUGUUGGCCACUCGGUUCAGACAUUGGGUUGAUUUGGGGUCUCGGUUCUUUUUGUUUAAAUAAAUUGCAAAGAAAAAAAAAACUUGGUUUGGAUAAAUAAACUUCAGUUGUGUUUAAAAUAAGUUUUUAUUUGAUUUUUUGUAAAAAAAAUUAUAAAUUCAAUUUAUACAAUAUUAAUUAUAUUUAAUUGAAGUCUUAUUAAAGAUUUUUUUAAAAAUAGUUUUUAAAUUAAAGAUAAAUUAAAAAAAUUCGUAAAAUAUGAAAUUAAUAUUAUAAUAAAAUCAUAAAUUAUGAUUUUUAUUUAAAAUGAUACUAUUUUAAGAUAUGAUUGAUUUAUUUAUUUAUUUAUUUUGAUAAGAAUGAAUAAUACUAAUUUUAAAAUAAUAACAGGGUGAUAUUUUAUUUGAAAUAAAUUUAAAAAUAAAUAAAAUUUAUUUUUUUUAAUACGUAAAUAAGUGAAGUUUUUCAUUAUAUCUACACCUGAGAAUUUAAUCAAGGAUAUAGUAUUUUGAACUAGUUUUGAGUCAUUCCUAUAAGCUUCAUUCAGUCAUUAUGGUUUAGACAAUUGAUAAUUAAUCUGUUGGCAUAAUUGAUUCUGCAAAACAGUAUCCUGAAUUUAGUAUCGAGGGAGGCAGAAACACAGCGAGAGAGAGAGAGAGAGAGAGAUGAUGCUUAACAAACAGACUGCAGACUGCUUUAUUGUAGUAAUAUGCCCAAAGUCCACACUAGAAGAGUUACAACCAGACCCUCUUAUUAUACCAUGUUUGUUACAAUGAGGGAAUUGAACAUCAUGAAUCGUCAUUCAAGCAAGGAAAUCAAAGGUUGACAGCUUAUUCUUUUUCUAUAUUUCCCCACUAGAAUCGUGCUUGAAGGUAUUCAACCACCCUCUUGUCCAACUGGAAGGCCCUUGCCAGGAAAUCAGGAUUGAUGGGUGGAUUUGAUCCAAACAUUGAACUGGCUAUGGUGAUUACACCUGGAUUUUGGCUGUUAAAAACGGCAAUGGCUACUGCAUUAGUGUGCCCAAUGUUGACUUGGAAGUGAAUGAGACUGAAAGGGAACACAAAAACAUCCCCCUUGUUCAGGACUUUGCUAAUGAAGCGGUGUUCAGGGUUGGAUGUGAUAAAGCCAACAAAGAGUUUUCCCUCCAAGACAAUGAAGAUCUCACUGGCACGAGGGUGAAAGUGAGGAGGGUUUUGACCAUUAGGUUCAUAAUCGAUACGAGACAGUGACACCCCAAGAGUGUUUUCUCCUGGUAAUUGAUCAACAUUUAUAAGAUUGACAAUUGAGCCCACAUAAUUUGAUGUGUUUCCUGGAAUAUUCAGCCCUUGAUACAAGAAAUCCUCGGCCACGGUCAGGUUUGGGUUCUUGCAGAACUUCCCAUUUACAAAUACUGCAUGAAGAAGGAAAAAAGAAAAGAUGUAUCCUUAGUAUCAAACCAUACUCACCAUAUCAAUAAAAAGAGUAGUACUGAAAAUAGCUAUAACAUCAUUGGUUACAAUAGAAAUACCAGCAUUCUUGGGCUCAUCAACUGCAACACAGGUGUCUUCCAGUGGGCUUGGAUCAUAGGCAGAGGCAAGAAACGAAGCCAAUGCCAUGAGGGCCACAGUUACCAUGAAACUAACGCCUUUCUUUAUUGUUAGAGUACUGUCUCCAACAAUCCCAAUCUUUAUCUUUCGGCGGGGAUAAUAAAUUUAGCCUGGAAAAGAUGUUAAUUUAUAGACCAGAGUCGGUGAGUUAGUCUUUGCAUAAACUCACCAAGUCUUCAAUGGGAAGUUUUUUCUUCUUUCUUUUUUCACUUUCGAGGACAAGCGGUUGCACCAAUACGUGUUGAUUUACGUAGGAUUAGUCAGUGUAUAGAUCUUAACCAGAAUAUAAAGCAAUGUACAAUCAGGUGGAGGCAGGUCCAAUUUAAUAUCAAUCUGCAUGAUCCAUACGUUUACAUUUAUAGUAGAGCUUUCUGCUCUUUUAGUAGUGUAUAGACAAGCAAAUAGAAGAUUACAGAGUAGGUGCCAGCUUGGAGUAUACAAUGACCCGCCCAUAUCAAACAUGGUUACUCCAUGAGGCUUGUGUAGGUUCAGUUUAAUGAGUAUCUAUAUAGCUUAAUUCACCAUUCAAAGUGUUGAGAGAUUGGCUGAUGAGAUUAAAUAUGUAGCCAAGUUCUGAGUUUCUAGCUCAUGUGCCUUCCACUGAGUGAAAAGUCCUUGGAUAAGCUCUGGCUUUCUGCUAUACGCUCAUUAGGCUUUCCUCAGUUACAAAAGCUUUGACUAUGAUUUUUACGCUUGUAGCCUUCGCUGUCUGAGCGGUUUCUAAGACUUUUUAAUUAGUUGCUUCUAAGUUGUCUUUAACAAGCAAGUCCGUAUUUUCUGGCGAGAAGCAAGAAAAUACCAAUUGAUUAGAUGAAGUCCUUCGACUAAUCUAUGCCCUAUACGUAAGGUAAUUAAGCAGUUACACUUUCCAAAUCUUCAAUGGAUGUCAUUUUUCGAAUUGAAAGGUUGAACUUCCUCAAGUUAUGCUCUAGACUCUAGAAUGAAUUCUACAUAAUCUUCGGUUUUAGGCCUUAUUCCUAGUUUAAAGCUAAGAAGUAAACCAGUGGACAGACCAUCUGUAAUCAGAUUGUGAUUAGUGUCAUGACCCAUUAGAUCUUUAUAAGAAGUUGGCCAUGGUUCAAAGUCACGGUAUCCGUCACCAAAUCGGUAAGUCCCGAGGUACAUCAGUUUCAACGUCACGGAUCGAUAUCGGAUGAUACGCAAAAAUUUAUAGUUUAAAAGCUCAAAACAAUUUAAAAAGAUUACAAAAAUAAAUACAAAUAAAUAAAGUUAAAAAUUAAGAAAUAAAAUUUUAUUAUGUAUAAAAUUAUUCAAAUUAUGAUAAAACAUACCUUUGUAAUGAUUUAUAAAAAUAUUAAAACUAUAAAAAAAAUAAUUUAAUCACUUAAUAUUAAAUAUGCAUCAUUAAAGAUGAAAAUAAUAAAAAGUGAAUUUAUAGUUUAUAAUUUUUUUAAAAUUAAAUAUUUUGAAUUUUUUAAAAAUAUUUUCAAUAUUUAAAAAAAUACAUCUAGGAAUCAUCUUUGAAAAAAAUAAACAUCAUUUUUCUUAUCAAAUGUAUUCUAAAUAAAACAAUUAUAAAAAUAAAGAAUUUUUAUUUGAAUGAGCAUAUUUGAAUAUAAUAUAUUUUUUCUAUACAUCUAUUCAUUUGAAUUGAAUUUUUAUAUUAAUAUUCAUUUCCUUUUUUAUUCAUGUAAACCUAAAUAUUCAUUAUUAAUGUACCAUAAUCCUAAUUCCCAUCAAAUUUGCAUUAUCCAUUUAAAUACAAUUAUUCACAACAUAUUCAUUAACUACUUAAAAAACAAAUACCCACCCAAAUUUGUAAUCCUAUCAAAUACCCAUAACCCAUUGGCAAACACGUAUUUCCUUUUUUUGGCACAAUACCCAUUUUCUCUCUAAAACAACACUUUGAGCUCUCUAUUUCUUUGCACAAUACCUAUAUUUGAAGGCUAAAAAAAUAGGCCUACAAAGAUACAAAAGGAUGGAGCUAGAAAUACAAGGAUGAAGAUGCACAAGGUUUGAAGACUCUAUACUCUCCACACUUCUUCACUUUCAUAUGUUUCCAUCAUCUUCUUUCAUCCACUAUUUUCGCUCCUAUAUUACCAUUUUUUCCCAUCACCCAUCACCCGAAGAGCUUAGUUUGAAUAUAAUCUUGGGGUUAUCUCAAAGUUUCUUUGUGAUUCAACAAGUUUUUUCAUGAGUCAACCAAAUAUUAGACUCAGGUAUCGGUUCAGUACUAGUCAUGGACAAGAUUUUAACCCUGUUUGAGCUCUCUAUUUCUUUGUACAAUACCAAUUUUUAAAGGCUCACAAAAUAACCCUAUGAAAAUACAAGAGGAUAGAGAUGCAAAUACAGGGAUGAAGAUGCAAAAGGUUUGAAGACUUUGAACUCUCCAUAUUCUUCGGUUUCAUGGGUUUCAAUCUUCUUCUCUCAUCAACUAUUUCUGCUCCAAUAUUACCAUUUUUUUCCAUCACCCAUGACCUGAAGAGCUUAGCUUGGACAUAAUCUUAGGGAUAUCUCAAAGUUUCUUUGUGAUUUAACAAGUUUAUUCAUGAUUCAACCAAAUAUUGGACUCGGAUAUCGGUCCGAUACCGAUCAUGGCUGAGGCAUAUAUGAAUCGGUUGAGUCGUACCGGUCUCGACCGAGAUUUUGAACCUUGUUUGAGCUUUCUAUUUCUUUGCACAAUACUAAUUUUUGAAGCCUUAUAAAAUAGCCCUACGAAGAUAUAAGAGGAUGAAGAUGCAAAUACAAGGAUGAAUAUGCAAAGGGUUUGAAGACUUUGAACUCUCCAUACUUCUUCACUACCAUAGGUUUCAAUCUUCUUCUCUCAUCCACCAUUUCCAUUCCAAUAUUACCAUUUUUUUUUCCAUCACCCAUCACUCAAAGAGCUUAGUUUGGACAUAAUCUUGGGGUUAUCUCAAAGUUUCUUUAUGAUUCAACAAGUUUAGUCAUGAGUCAACUAAAUAUUGGACUUGGGUAUCAGUCUGAUACUAGUCAUGACCAAGAUUUUGAACCCUUUUUGAGCUCUCUAUUUCUCUACAUAAUACCCAUUUUUGAAUGCUCACAAAAUAACCCUACAAAGAUACAAGAUGAUAGAGAUGCAAAUACAAGGAUGAAGAUGCAAAGGGUUUGAAGACUCUAAACUCUCCAUACUUCUUCACUUUCAUAGGUUUCGAUCUUCUUCUCUCAUCCGCCAUUUCAACUCCAAUAUUACCAUUUUUUUCCAUGACCUAUCACUCGAAGAGCUUAUUUUGGACAUAAUCUUGGGGUUAUCUCAAAGUUUCUUUUUUAUUCAACAAGUUUAUUCAUGAGUCAACCAAAUAUUGGACUUGAGUAUUAGUUCGGUACUGGUCAUGGCCGAGGUGGAUAUGACUUGGCCAAGUCAUACUGGUCUCAAUCGAGAUUUUGAACCCUAUUUGAACUCUCUAUUUCUUUGCACAGUACCCAUUUUUUAAGGCUAACAAAUUAGCCCUACGAAGAUAUAAGAGGAUUGAGAUGCAAAUAAAGAAAUGAAGAUGCAAAGGGUUUGAAGACUCUAAACUCUUCAUACUUUUUCACUUUCAUGGGUUUCAAUCGUCUUAUCUCAUCCACCAUUUUCGCUCCAAUAUUACAAUUUUUUUCCAUCACCCAUCACCCAAAAAGCUUAGUUUGAACAUAAUCUUGGAGUUAUCUCAAAGUUUAUUUUUUAUUCAACAAGUUUAUUCAUGAGUAAACCAAAUAUUGGACUCAAGUAUCAAUUCAAUAUCAAUCAUGGUUGAGGCGGAUAUGACUCGAACAAGUUGUACUUGUCUCAACCGAGAUUAUGAACCCUAUUUGAGCUCUCUAUUUAUCUCUACAAUACCCAUUUUUGAAGGCUUACAAAAUAGUCCUACGAAGAUACAAGAUGAUGGAGAUGCAAAUACAAGGAUGAAAAUCCAAAGAGUUUGAAGACUCUGAACUCUCCAUAUUUUUUCACUUUCAUGAGUUUUGAUUUUCUUCUCUUAUCUGCCAUUUCCGCUCCAAUAUUACCAUUUUUUCCAUUACCCAUCACUUGAAGAGCUUAGUUUGGACAUAAUAUUAAGGUUAUCUCAAAUUUUCUUUGUGAUUCAACAAGUUUAUUCAUAAGUCAGCCAAAUAUUGGACUUGGGUAUCUGUUCGAUACUAGUCAUAUAUGGUAGAGGCGGAUAUGACUCAACCAAGUUGUACUAGUCUCAACUAAGAUUUUGAACCCUAUUUGAGCUCUCUAUUUCUCUGUACAAUACCCAUUUUAAAGGCUCACAAAAUAGCCCUACCAAGAUACAAGAUAAUGAAGAUGCAAAUAUUACUCAUUGAAUAUCUAGCAAUAAUUGGUUUAUUUUUUAUUUUUGAAUUAUUUUUUAAAAUUAAAUAUCUAUUAAUGAAACAAAAAUACUAAUGAUUAAUACCAAAAAGUGCUAUUUUGUAGAUCUAAUUAUAAUGGUUUUAAGCACCUUUGAGUAGUAAUCAUAUUCAUUUAACCCAAUUAAUUCAUUAAGGUCCUUAGUAAUUGGUUUUAACCAUUUUGUGGCAAGUUUACAUGUUUUUAUCAGCUUAUGAAUCAAUUCAAGCAUGCCAAAUGAUGGAGGAGCUACUUAGACAAGUUAAAGCAAGGAUUUUGGAAGUUUACAGGCUUGAAUUUCAAGUGGAAACACGAGCACAAGCAAUGGAGAAGAGGAAAACAGAGUGAAGAAAACAGAGGACAGCAGCUGCAGUCUUCUUUUGCACUUUUGGAGCACUUCCCGAAGUCCAUUUUCUACAUUCUAUAUACCAUUUCAAAGCUCAGGAAGUCAAUAAUCCAAUGCUUCAAACGGUGCGUGAUUCGGAGUUGAAACGAAGGAGUUACAGCCAUUGCAAUCAGAUCACUCCAAGCUGCUGCGAAAUCAGCCUUUUGUUGCGAGAAUUUCGCAGCCUUUUUGUACAGUGCAAUGGAAUUCCUCCUGAAGCUACCCGAUAUAUGCUGCAAGCUGGAAUGCUGAGAACCUCAAGGUGGAAGCCAACUUCGCAGCCCUGCGAAGAUAGCUUGGUGUUGCGAAAUUAUUUCGCAACCCUCUUGAGUGUCUGCGAAAUCUCGCAGACCUCGUUUUCACCUGCGAAAUGUCCUUAGUGCUUCCUGAUAUUUGUGCACCGACUCUUUUGGAUAUUUUUCUUCAGAUAUUUUUGUAUAAAUUUCCAUUUUCUCCUUGUUUUCAGCCACUCAUGUAAUUCCUUAGCUAGGAAGUNNNNNNNNNNNNNNNNNNNNNNNNNNNNNNNNNNNNNNNNNNNNNNNNNNNNNNNNNNNNNNNNNNNNNNNNNNNNNNNNNNNNNNNNNNNNNNNNNNNNGAGAGAGAUUUAGUGUUUGAACCCAUUAAUGGGAAGCAUCUGUACAACACCGGUUGGAGAAGGAACUAUAGGUUAAUUCUCUAAGGCGAGGAAAAAAAACAAGUGACCGGAACUCCCUUUUUGUAUGAGGAACCUGAGCCUAGUGAUCUGAACUCCAAGAAACACUUUUCUUUGUAAGUAAAAUCAGUUACUAUUUUUGGUUAGCUUAAAACCAAACCUUUUUCAUUCAAACAUCUUUAUGUUUUCUUAAGCUAACCUUGAAAUGAAAAGGCACCAAUUCAGCUUUGAAUUAAUAUCAUUUGUGAAGUGAAAACCCAUCCCAGUGGACGAUCCUAGAGCCACUAUGCUAUAGUAGCUUUGUCUUUGCUACCCUAGUAUAUGGUGUAAUAGGUUAUAAAUUUUGUUGAUUACUCCCUCAAUCAAGGAGCACCAGCUGGACACGAAUCAGCUGAGACACCAAUUGGGCACGAAUCAACUAACUCUUUCUUGAUUUUCUUCUCUCAUCCACCAUAUCCGCUCCAAUAUUGCCAUUUUUUCCAUCACCCAUCACCCUAAGAGCUUAGUUUGGAUAUAAUCUUAGGGUUAUCUCAAAGUUUCUUUUUUAUUCAACAAGUUUAUUCAUGAGUUAACCAAAUAUUGGACUCGGGUAUUAGUUCGGUACCGGUCAUGGCCAAGGUGAAUAUGACUUGGCCGAGUCAUACCAGUCUCAAUUGAGAUUUUGAACCUUGUUUGAACUCUCUAUUUCUUUGCACAAUACCCAUUUUUUAAGGCUAACAAAAUACCCUAACAAAGAUACAAGAGGAUUGAGAUGCAAAUAUAGGAAUGAAGAUGAAAAGGGUUUGAAGAGUCUAAACUCUUCAUACUUUUCCACUUUCAUGGGUUUCAAUCUUCUUCUCUCAUCCACCAUUUUUGCUCUGGUAUUACUAUUUUUUUUCCAUCACCCAUCAUCCAAAAAGCUUAGUUUGGACAUAAUCUUGGAGUUAUCUCAAAGUUUCUUUUUUUAUUCAACAAAUUUAUUCAUGAGUCAACCAAAUAUUGGACUAGAGUAUCGAUCCGAUACUGAUAAUGGCUGAGGCGGAUAUGACACGAUCAAGUCGUACGAGUCUUAACCGAGAUUAUGAACCCUGUUUGAGUUCUCUAUUUCUAUACACAAUACCCAUAUUUGAAGGCUCACAAAAUAGUCCUACGAAGAUACAAGAUGAUGGAGAUGCAAACACAUGGAUGAAAAUCCAAAGCGUUUGAAGGCUCUGAACUCUCCAUAUUUCUUCGCUUUCAUGGGUUUCGAUCUUUUUCUCUCAUCCACCAUUUUCGCUCCAAUAUUACCAUUUUUUCCAUUACCCAUCACGCAAAGAGCUUAGUUUGGACAUAAUAUUAUGGUUAUCUCAAAUUUUCUUCAUGAUNNNNNNNNNNNNNNNNNNNNNNNNNNNNNNNNNNNNNNNNNNNNNNNNNNNNNNNNNNNNNNNNNNNNNNNNNNNNNNNNNNNNNNNNNNNNNNNNNNNNAAGAGCUUAGUUUGGACAUAAUAUUAUGGUUAUCUCAAAUUUUCUUCAUGAUUCAACAAAUUUAUUCACAAGUCAACCAAAUAUUGGACUUGGGUAUCAGUCCGAUACUAGUCAUGGUGGAGGCAGAUAUGACUCGGUUGAGUCGUACCAAUCUCGACUAAGAUUGUGAACCCUGUUUGAACUCUCUAUUUCUUUGUACAAUAUCCAUUUUGAAGGCUCACAAAAUAGCCCUACCAAGAUACAAGACGAUGGGGAUGCAAAUAUUACUCCUUGAAUUACUGGCAAUAAUUAGUUUAUUUUUUUAAUUUUGAACUAUUUUUUAAAAUUAAAUAUUUGUUAAUGAAACAAAAGCACUAACUCUUUCUUGAUUUGGAGUUUAUUUGUUGAAUGAAAAUUUUUGGAUAAUUAUGGUUUUGCGCAUAAGAGAAAUAAUGAACCAAUUGUUGUUCAUAAAUUCAUAAAAUUGGAUUAGCAUUUGAGUUUCAAAUUAUUUUUAAAAGUGCUUACAUUCAUUAAUGAAUCUAAUACACUAAGUUCCUCUUUGGGAUGAAUUUUGAAUGAGGCUAAAAGCUUUUCCUAACACUAGAAAGCAAUCUUAAAAAAAUGGUUGAAAAUCACUUUUAAAAAUCUAAAUAAUGACAUGAUUCUUCGAACUAUCACAUUUUUGUUAUAUUAUACAUUGCCAAAACAUUCUCUGAACAUAUUUUAAAAAAAAUUUAUAAUAUGCAUUUCCUACAAAGCAAUCUUAAAAAUAUAUAUAUAUAUAUAUCAUCAAUAAUUAGAUUAUGGUGUGAUAGUGAUUUUAGCAAUUGUUUUUAGCCUUUUUAAUACUUUAAAAAUAACAGCAGUGAAUUUAGGAAACGUUUCUAGCUUUUUUAACGCUUGAAUGAUAUAAAUUUUCAAGUAUUAGAAAAGUUAAAAAUGUUUCCUAAAAUCACUACUAAACAGGCUUUAAUCAGUAGUAGUAAUUAAUUGGUAUUGAAUAACUGUAAUGCAGUUUCCUGAAUGUAGUAUUGAGGGAGAGAGAAACAGAGAGGAAGAGAGAGAUGCUUAACAAACAAAUUGCUUUAUUGUAGUAAUAUGCCCAAAGUUCACACCAGAAGAGUUACAACUAGACCCUCUUAUCAUACUAGGAUUGUUAUAACGAGGGAAUUGAACAUCAUAAAUAGUCAUUCAAGCAAGGAAAUGAAAGGUUGAUAGCUUCUUCUUUUUCUAUAUUCCCCCACUAGAAUCGUGCUUGAAGGUAUUCAACCACCUUCUUGUCCAACUGGAAGGCCCUUGCAAGGAAAUCAGGAUUGAUGGGUGGAUUUGAUCCAAACACUGCAUUGGCUAUGGUGAUUACACCUGGAUUUUGGCUGUUCAGACCAGCAAUGGCUACUGCAUUAGUGUGCCCAAUGUUGAAUUGGAAGUGAAUGAGACCGAUAGGGAACACAAAAACAUCCCCUUUGUUGAGGACUUUGCUAAUGAAUCGGUUUUGAGGGUUGGAUGUGACAAAGCCAACUAAGAGUGUUCCCUCCAAAACAGUGAGGAUCUCACUGGCACGGGGGUGAAUGUGAGGAGGGUUUUGACCAUAGGGUGCAUAAUUGAUACGAACCAGUGAUAUCCCAAGAGUGUUUUGUCCCGGUAGUACAUCAACAUUUAUAAUAGUGACAUUUGAGCCCACUAGAUUUGCUGUGUUUCCUGGAAUAUUCAGCCCUUGAUACAAGAAAUCGUCAGCCACGGUCAGGUUUGGGUUCUUGCAGAACUUUCCAUUUACAAAUACUGCAUUUAAAAAAACAAAAGGAAAAUAAAAGAUAGGUCAUUAGUAUCAAACCACCAUCAAUGGAAAGAUUAGUGAAAAUAGUGACAAGAUCAUUGGUUACUAAAGAAAUACCAGCAUUCUCGGGUUCAUCAAUGGCAACACAAGUGUCCUGCAGUGGCCUUGGAUCAAAGGCAGAGGCAAGAGAGGAAGCCAAUGCCAUGAGGGCAACAGUUACCAGGAAACUAACACCUUUCUUCAUUGUUAGAGAACUGUCUCCAACAAUCACAAUCUUUAUCUUUAGGUGGGGGUGAGAAAUUUUGCAUGGGAAAGAUGUUAAUUUAUAGACCAGUCAAUGAGUAAAGUCUUUGCAUAAACUCACAAAGUCUUCAAUGGGUAGUUUUUUCUUUUCUUUUUUUUCUUUCUUUUUUCUUUUUUUCACUUUCAACGUCAAGUGGUUACACCAAUACAUGUUGAUUUAUGUAGGAUUAGUUAGUUACUAUACUGAUCUUAACUAGAAAAUUCUCCAUGCGUGUGGAAAGUGAAGUUCAAUUAUUGAUGGAGGCAGGUCCAAUUUCAUAUCAACCUGCAUGAUCCAUACAUUUACAUAAAUAGUAGAUUGAAUAUUACUACCAUUCAAACACUGAAAAAUAUGUAUAGUGUAUUGACAAGAAAAUAGAAGAUUACAGAGUAAGUGCAGGCUUGGACUAGACAAUAACCCACCCAUUCCAAACAUGGUUACUCUAUGAGGCUUGUGUAGGUUCAGUUUAAUGAGUAUCUAUAUAGCUUAAUUAACCAGUCAAAGUUUUCAGAGAUUGGCUGAUGAGAUUGAAUAUGUAGCCAAGUUCUGAGUUUCUAGCUCAUGUGCCUUCCACUGAGUGAAAAAUCCUUGGAUAAGCUCUAGGGUUGCUUCACUUUAGUGAAAAAUAGGGAUAAAUUCAAAGAUUUUCUGCUAUGCUCAUUAGGCUUUCCUCAGUUACAAAAGCUUUGGCCAUGAUUUUUAUGCUUGCAGCCUGCCCUGUCUGAGCAGUUGGCUCAAAAGUUAUUAUUAUUAUUAUUAUUUUGGUUUGAGAGAGAAAGAGAUCUUAAUAAACACCUUUAAACUAAGACUUUUUAAUUAGUUGUUUAUAAGUUGUCUUUAACAAUCACGUCGGUGUUUCCUGGUGAGAAGCAAGAAACCUUGAUUUGAAAAAUACCAAUAAAUUAGAUGAAGUCCUCAGGUUAACCUAUGUUUUAUAGGUGAGGUAAGCAGUUACACUUUCCAAGUCUUCAAUGGAUGUCAUUUUUCAAAUUUAAAGGUUGAACCAUUCUUCGAUCACACUCCUUUCUCAUCCUUUUCUCCUCAACUUAUGCUCUAGACUCUUGAAUGGAUUCUACAUAAUCUUCGGGUUUUAGGCCUUAUUCCAGUGUAAAGCUAAGAAGUAAACCAGUGGGCAGGCCAUCUAUAAUCAGUUUGUGAUUAGUGUCAUGACCUAGAUCUUUAUAAGAAGUUGGGGUCAGAGGUUUGUUUACAGUGGAUGUCAUAAGAUUUAUGGGCUUUCAUUUCUAUUCUUUCCUCACUAUUUCAUAACACUUAUGCUUCUCCCACCAUUCAUAUGGUUUUACUUGGACAUCUUAAUGAGUUUUUUCGAUCUCAGUUGAUGGGAGUUAUAAUGGGAUAAUUUAGAGAAGCAAAUUAAUGGCAUCUUUCCAUUUCUGAAUUGUAUGGGGUUGUUGCCUCAAUGUUCAUGUCUUCAUCACCAAUUCUGUCAGCAGUAUGCUAGAAGUAACAGUAGUUCUGUUUUAUGCAUAUCCUGUAUUUAAUCAAUCAAUCAACUGAGAUUUGUUAUUCAGUUGCUUCUUUUACAAGUGAAAUCUCAAAGAUUUGUUUAAGAUUUUUUAAUGAAAACAUAGGGUAAUCCUGGAUAUGGCAUUGGAUAGUGAGAGAAGAAGAUGGCUAAUAGACAAACUGCUUUAUUUUAAUAUUAGGACCAAAGUCCACAUCAAACAACCUACAACAUAAAGAAAUAAACCCUCUUAUUCUAGGAUGACUAUAAUGAGGUAAUUGAACACCACAAAUAGUCAUUUAAGCAAGGAAAGCAAAGGCUGGUAGCUUCUUAAUUUUCUAUAUUUUCCAACUAGAAUAGUGCUUGAAGGUAUUCAACCACCUUCUUGUCCAACUGGAAGGCCCUGGCAAGGAAAUCAGGAUUGAUGGGUGGAUUUGAUCCAAACACUGCAUCGGCUAUGGUGAUUACACCUGGAUUUUGGCUGUUCAGACCAGCAAUGGCUACUGCAUUAGUGUGCCCAAUGUUGAAUUGGAAGUGAAUGAGACCUAUAGGGAACACAAAAACAUCUCCCUUGUUGAGGACUUUGCUAAAGAGGCGGUUUUGAGGGUUGGAUGUGACAAAGCCAACUAAGAGUGUUCCCUCCAAGACAGUGAGGAUCUCAGUGGCACGAGGGUGAGUGAUCAUGUGAGGAGGGUUUUGACCAUAGGGUGCAUAAUCUAUACGAACCAGUGAUAUCCCAAGAGUGUUAAGUCCUGGUAUUGCAUCAACAUUUACUGUAGUGACAUUUGAGCCCACUCGAUUUGCUGUGUUUCCUGGAAUAUUCAGCCCUUGAAAGAAGAAAUCCUCGGCCACAGUCAGGUUUGCGUUCUUGCAGAACUUUCCAUUUACAAAUACUGCAUUUAAAAAGAAGGGGAAAAGAAAAGAUAGGUCGUUAGUAUCAAACCAUUAUCAAUGGAAAGAGUAGUGAAAAUGGCAAUAAGAUCAUUGGUCACUAUACAUAUAUAGAAAUAUCAGCAUUCUUGGGUUCAGGAAUGGCAACACAAGUGUCCUGAAGUGGGCUUGGAUCAAAGGCAGCGACAAGAGAGGAAGCCAAUGCCAUGAGGGCAACAGCAACCAGGAAGCUGACACCUUUCUUCAUUGUCAGAGUACUGUCUCCAACAAUCAGAGUCUUUAUCUUUAGGUGGGGGUGAUAAAUUUUGCAUGGGAAAGAUGUUAAUUUAUAGACCAGAAUCGGUGAGUUAGUCUUUGCAUAAACUCACAAAGUCUUUAAUGGGUAGUUUUUUUUUUUCAUUUUCAAGGACAAUUAGUUACACCAAUACAUUUUAAUUUAUGUAGGAUUAGUUAGUAUACUGAUCUUAACUAGAAUAUUCUCCAUGAGUGUGUGGAUAGUGGAGUUCAAUUAUAGGUGGAGGCAGGUCAAAUUUCAUAUCAAUCUACAUGAUCCAUGCAAUAACAUAAAUAGUAGAGCUUUCUGCUCUUUUAGUUUUAGUACCCAAACACUGAAAAAUCUCUAAAGUAGUGUAUAGACAAGCAAAUAGAAGAUUACAGAGUAGGCCAUCGGACUAGACAAUAAUCCACCCAUUUCAAACAUGGUUACUCCAUGAGGCUUGUGUAGGUUCAGUUUAAUGAGUAUCUAUAUAGCUUAAUUCACCAUUGAAAGUGUCCAGAGAUUGGCUGAUGAGAUUGAAUAUGUAGCCAAGUUCUGAGUUUCUAGCUCAUGUGCCUUCCACUGAGUGAAAAAUCCUUGGAUAAGCUCUGGGGUUGCUUCAGUUUAAUGAAAUAUUGGGAUAAAUUCAAAGAUUUUCUGCUAUGCUCGUUGGGCUUUCCUCAGUUAAAAAAGCUUUGACUACUUGCAGCCUGCCCUAUCUGAGCAAUUGGCUCAAAAGUUAUUAUUAUUAUUAUCAUGUUUUUUGAUAGUGACUUUAUUUAUGUAUUAUGAGAGGGAAAGAGAUGCUUAACAAACACCUUUGAACUAAGACUUUCUAAAUUAUUUGUUUACAAGUUUUCUUUAACAAUCAAAUCUGUGUUUUUUGGUAAGAAGCAAGAAACCUUGCAUUGGAAAAAUACCAAUUAUUUAGAUAAAGUUCUCAGAUUAGUCUAUGUUUUAUACAUAAGGUAAGCAGAUACACUUUCCAAGCUUUCCAAGUCUUCAAUGGAUGGCCUUUUUUUAAUUUAAAGGUCGAACCCUUAUUCAACAACUACACCCCUUUCCCAUCCUCAACUCAAAGUGGACUCUGCAUAAUCUUUGGGUUUUAGGACUUAUUCGAGGGUAAAUCUAAAGGAGUAACCCUGUGGACAGACCAUCUAUGAUCAGUUUGUGAUUAGUGUCAGACCCAUUAGAUCUUUAUAAGUUGAGGUGAGAAGUUUGCUGCAUGAAUUCGAAUCUACUUUCUUUCCACUUCUUAUCAUCAUGGAGUACAUGACGAAAACUUCAGAUAAAAAUGAAAACUCAAAUUAAACUGUUUUCUUUUCCAUUCUUUCUUCACUAUGUUCAUGACACUUGUGCUUCUCCUACCAUUCAAAUGGUUUAUCUGGACAUCUUAAUUAGUUUCUUCGAUCUUAGUUGAUGGGUUAUAGUGGGAUAAUUUAGAGAAGCAAAAUGGCACCUUUCCAUUUCUGAAUUGUAUGCAGUUGUUGCCUCAAUGUUCAUUUAUUCAUCACCAAUUCCGCCAGCAGUAUGCUGGAAGUAACAGUAGAACUAUUUUACAAUCAGUCAAGUAUUGCUUCUUCAUCAAAAUUCUGCAUAUACUGUAUAUAAUCAAUCAAGCAACUGAGAUUUGUGAUCCAGUUGUUUUUCCACAAGUGAAAUAUCAAAGAUUUGGAUAAGAUUUUUUAAGACAAAUAUUGAGAUGGAGACAGGAGUAGAAGAUGCCUAACAGACAAACUGCUUUAUUUUAAUAUUAGGACCAGAGUCCACACCAAAAGAGCUACAAAAGAAAGUAAUAAACCCUCUUAUUCUAGGAUGAUUGUAAUGAGGUAAUUAAACAUCACAAAUAGUCAUUCAAGCUUGCAAAUCAAAGGUUCCUAGCUUCUUCAUUUUCUCUAUUUCCCCACUAGAAUCGUGCUUGAAGGUAUUUGACCACCUUCUUGUCCAACUGGAAGGCCCUUGCCAGGAAAUCAGGAUUGAUGGGUGGAUUUGAUCCAAAUACUGCAUUGGCUAUGGUGAUUACACCUGGAUUUUGGCUGUUCAGACCAGCAAUGGCUACUGCAUUAAUGUGCCCAAUGUUGAAUUAGAAGUGAAUGAGACCAAUAGGGAACACAAAAACAUCCCCCUUGUUUAGAACUUUGCUAAUGAGGCGGUUUUGAGGGUUGGAUGUGACAAAGCCGACUAAGAGUGUCCCUCCAAGACGGUGAGGAUCUCAGUGGCACGAGGGUGAGUGUGAGGAGGGUUUUGACCGUAGGGUGCAUAAUCGAUACGAACCUGUGAUAUCCCAAGAGUGUUAAGUUCUGGUAUUGCAUCAACAUUUACUGUAGUGACAUUUGAGCCCACUCGAUUUGUUGUGUUUCCUGGGAUAUUCAGCCCUUGAUAGAAGAAAUCCUCGGCCACAGUCAGGUUUGGGUUCUUGCAGAACUUUCCAUUUACAAAUACUGCAUUUAAAAAAAGGGAAAAGAAAAGAUACAUCAUUAGUAUGAAACCACCAUCAAUGGAAAGAUUAAUGAAAAUAGUGACAAGUUCAUUGGUUACUAAAGAAAUACCAGCAUUCUUGGGUUCAUCAAUGGCAACACAAGUGUCCUGCAGUGGGCUUGGAUCAGAGGCAGAGGCAAAAGAUGAAGCCAAUGCCAUGAGGGCCACAGUUACUAGGAAACUAACACCUUUCUCCAUUGUUAGAGUACUGUCUCCAACAAUCACAAAUCUUUGUGUUUAGGUGAGGGGUGAAAAUUUUUGCAUGAGAAACAUGUCAAUUUAUAGAUGGUCUUCAAUGGGUAGGUCCUUUUUUUUUUUUUUUUUUUUUUUUGCUUUCUCACUUACAAGGAUAAGUGUUUUCAUCAAUACGUGUUAAUUUAUGUUGGGUUAGUUAGUAUACUGAUCUUAACUUAAAUAUUUUCAAUGCAUAUGUUGAAAGUGAAGUUCAAUCAGGUGGAGGCAGGUCCAAUUUCAUAUCCAUCUCCAAUAUGAAAAGUUCUCCACAAGAUUUAGUUCCAAAUGGCUAGCUAAUGGAAGAACUACAUAUGGCAAAAUGAAGUGAAAGUAUUCAGGAUUACUUAACCUUUUAAUGCAGCAGAUCAGUCCUUCUGUUUUCUUGGUGACCAAACAUUGAACGAACUCUAAAGUAGUGUAUAUACAGCAAAAAGAAGACCAUUAUUAUUAUCACUAUGGUCUUUGAUAGUGAAUAUAUUUAUGUCUCAUGUACAAAUAUAUUUCCACACUUCUUCACUUUCAUAUGUUUCCAUGCAUCUUCUUUCAUCCACUAUUUUCGCUCCUAUAUUACCAUUUUUUUCCAUCACCCAUCACCCAAAGAGCUUAGUUUGAAUAUAAUCUUGGGGUUAUCUCAAAGUUUCUUUGUGAUUCAACAAGUUUUUUCAUGAGUCAACCAAAUAUUAGACUCAGAUAUCGGUUCAGUACUAGUCAUGGCCAAGAUUUUAACCCUGUUUGAGCUCUCUAUUUCUUUAUACAAUACCCAUUUUUAAAGGCUCGCAAAAUAACCCUAUGAAGAUACAAGAGGAUAGAGAUGCAAAUACAGGGAUGAAAAUGCAAAAGGUUUGAAAACUCUUAACUCUCCAUAUUUCUUCGGUUUCAUGGGUUUCAAUCUUCUUCUCUCAUCAACUAUUUCUGCUCCAAUAUUACCAUUUUUUUUCCAUCACCCAUCACCUGAAGAGCUUAGCUUGGACAUAAUGUUAGGGAUAUCUCAAAGUUUCUUUGUGAUUUAGCAAGUUUAUUCAUGAUUCAACCAAAUAUUGGACUCGGGUAUCGGUUCGAUACCGAUCAUGGCUGAGGCAUAUAUGAAUCGGUUGAGUCGUACUGGUCUCGACCAAGAUUUUGAACCCUGUUUAAGCUUUCUAUUUCUUUGCACAAUACUAAUUUUUGAAGCCUUAUAAAAUAACCCUACGAAGAUACAAGAGGAUGAAGAUGCAAAUACAAGGAUGAAUAUGCAAAGGGUUUGAAGACUUUGAACUCUCCAUACUUCUUCACUACCAUAGGUUUCAAUCUUCUUCACUCAUCCACCAUUUCCAUUCCAAUAUUACCAUUUUUUUUCCAUCACCCAUCACUCGAAGAGCUUAGUUUUGACAUAAUCUUGGGGUUAUGUCAAAGUUUCUUUAUGAUUCAACAAGUUUAUUCAUGAGUCAACUAAAUAUUGGACUUGGGUAUCAGUCUGAUACUAGUCAUGGCCAAGAUUUUGAACCCUUUUUGAGCUCUCUAUUUCUCUACAUAAUACCCAUUUUUGAAGGCUCACAAAAUAACCCUACAAAGAUACAAGAUGAUAGAGAUGCAAAUACAGGGAUGAAGAUGCAAAGGGUUUGAAGACUCUGAACUCUCCAUACUUCUUCACUUUCAUAGGUUUCGAUCUUCUUCUCUCAUUUGCCAUUUCAGCUCCAAUAUUACCAUUUUUUCCAUGACCCAUCACUCGAAGAGCUUAUUUUGGACAUAAUCUUGGGGUUAUCUCAAAGUUUCUUUUUUAUUCAACAAGUUUAUUCAUGAGUCAACCAAAUAUUGGACUCAGGUAUUAGUUCGGUACUGGUCAUGGCCGAGGCGGAUAUGACUUGGCCGAGUCAUACUGGUCUCAAUCGAGAUUUUAAACCCUAUUUGAACUCUCUAUUUCUUUUUCACAGUACCCAUUUGUUAGAAAUUUGAGGCUAAUCCAACCUAUGGUAAUCACCCUAGAGGGGGGGUGAAUGGGGUGAUGGUCUCUUUUCUAACAAUUUAAACAAGUGAAUGCAAGAGACAAUUAUAUGCAAGUAUAUAAUAAUCAAUAUAGAGACAAUUGCAUAUAAAUUAAAGAGUAGGGAAAAGAGAAUGCAAACACAAGAUUUUAUAGUGGUUCGACGCAACCCGGCCUAUAUCCACUCUCCUCUAGCUUCAAUCCUGAGCUUGAGGUUUCACUAAUCCAAGGCUUCCAAACCAAGCCUUCAAGCAAUACAAUUGGAUUAUGGUUCCAAUUCACCCUCUUGGACUUUUGGCUCCAAGCACCCUUUACACUUCUCAAGAGAUAUCCCACUCUUGAACAACCCCUCAAGUGAUACUUCACACUUGAGAAACUUCCUAUCAAAGAUUUACAAAUGAAUGAUCUCUCAAUCUAGCACAAAAACUUUAAGCUCAAAUGAUACAAGAAAAACUAGGAUUGAAUGGUGCACUAAAGAUAUGCAAGUUUUGAAAUAAUGGUGCACUCAAAUAUACUCUUCCAAGGCUCAAAUAUAAUCAAGAAAUAUUUGGGAAGGUUAAUCUCUUGAAACAAUGAAGAUCGAAGCCUUUUUAUAGAAGAAAAAAGCCAAACUAGCCAUUGGGGGUUCGACCGGUCGACCAGUUGACUAGCCAUUAGCAUUUAAUGCAUGGCAAGUGACCGUUGGGCCUUAACCGGACCUCAACUAGUUGAGGUUCAACCUUGACCGUGAAGAGAAGGUCACUGGGAGAAAAAGAAACCUUUUGGCCUCCCUCAACCGGUCGACCGGUUGAGCCAUUUUUUUGGCUCAACACCGAACCAUUUUCAACUUAAAACCUUUUAACACAAGUUUGAAAAUCAUUUAAUACAAGGUUUUAGUUGAAAACAUGAAAUCAUCCAAUUCUUAAGAUAUUUAAAACAAUAUUACUCUUGGAUGAUUUUGGUGCAUAAAUAAAGAAUGAAAUGCAUGAAAGUCCUAGUGCACCAACAACCUUACAAAGAGAUCCUAUGAAGCUUUGGUCUUGAAAAACUCUUCUCUUUGAGGUGGUCUUCUUCUUCAUGAUUUCUUCUUGGUUUGAUUUGUCUUUGUGAUUGCCACUUUGGAAAUCGUCUUGCCUAAUCACACUUGAAAUAUGAUCAUUAGUUCUAAACCUUGUUUUGUUAUCAUAAAAAUCAAGAUUAACCAAACCUUGGUUUCACACCAUUUUUUAAGGCUAACAAAUUAGCCCUACGAAGAUAUAAGAGGAUUAAGAUGCAAAUAAAGGAAUGAAGAUGCAAAGGGUUUGAAGACUCUAAACUCUUCAUACUUUUUCACUUUCAUGGGUUUCAAUCUUCUUAUCUCAUCCACCAUUUUCGCUCCAAUAUUACAAUUUUUUUCCAUCACCCAUCACCCAAAAAGCUUAGUUUGAACAUAAUCUUGGAGUUAUCUCAAAGUUUCUUUUUUAUUCAACAAGUUUAUUCAUGAGUCAACCAAAUAUUGGGCUCAAGUAUCAAUUCAAUAUCGAUCAUGGUUGAGGCGGAUAUGACUCGAUCAAGUUGUACUCGUCUCAACCGAGAUUAUGAAACCUAUUUGAGCUCUCUAUAUAUCUACACAAUACCCAUUUUUGAAGGCUUACAAAAUAGUCCUACGAAGAUACAAAAGGAUGGAGAUGCAAAUACAAGGAUGAAAAUCCAAAGAGUUUGAAGACUCUGAACUCUCCAUAUUUUUUCACUUUCAUGAGUUUUUAUUUUCUUCUCUUAUUUGCCAUUUCCGCUCCAAUAUUACCAUUUUUUUUCCAUUACCCAUCACUCGAAGAGCUUAGUUUGAACAUAAUAUUAAGGUUAUCUCAAAUUUUCUUCGUGAUUCAACAAGUUUAUUCAUAAGUCAACCAAAUAUUGGACUUGGAUAUCUAUUCGAUACUAGUCAUGGUAGAGGCGGAUAUGACUCGACCAAGUCAUACCAGUCUCAACUGAGGUUUUGAACCCUAUUUGAGCUCUCUAUUUCUCUAUACAAUACCCAUUUUGAAGGCUCACAAAAUAGCCCUACCAAGAUACAAGAUAAUGGAGAUGCAAAUAUUACUCGUUGAAUUUCUAGCAAUAAUUGGUUUAUUUUUUAAAUUUUGAACUAUUUUUUAAAAUUAAAUAUCUAUUAAUGAAACAAAAAUACUAACUCUUUCUUGAUUUUCUUCUCUCAUCCACCAUAUCCGCUCCAAUAUUGCCAUUUUUUCCAUCACCCAUCACUCGAAGAGCUUAGUUUGGAUAUAAUCUUAAGGUUAUGUUUCUUUUUUAUUCAACAAGUUUAUUCAUGAGUUAACCAAAUAUUGCAAUGUUUUCAGAACCGGACCGGUGAUCGAACCGGAAAAGUUACCGGUUCACGGUUCACUGGUCGGACCGGCGGUCGAACCGCUAUUGAACCGGUGACAUCAUAAAUAUAUAAUUUAUAUAUUAUUAAAAUUAAAAAUAAUUAUAAAAAUUUUAAAAUAUAUAUGAAUAAAUUAAAAAUCAAUAAUAUUAUCAAAUUAAAUCAUAUUAAUAUUUUUAAUUUUGUUAAAUGAAAUAUGUAAAAUAUUUAAAUAUGAAUAUAUUAAAAAUGAAAAUUUAAACUAAUUUUAUCAUUUUUAAAAAUAUUAUAUUAUUUUUAUUUAACAUUACAAAAUUAAUUUAAAAUCUAAUAUAUAUUAUUUUGUUUAGCAUAUUAACUAACAUAAGCUGUGUAGCCGAGUGGUGCCUUGCAUGCCUUCCAAAUCUGGGGUCCAAGGUUCAAUUCCUCCUGGCUGUGGGGGACUUCUUGUUAUUUUUUUCAUUCAUUUGGUUGGUUAGGAAUCCCACAUCGGAAACAAAGAGAAAUGAGGAAGCCAAGGGUGCCUAUAAAUUCUAUCCACAUUGAAAGCCAACGCAUUCCCUCAUUGGGUGGGCUCAAGACUAAGCCCACAAUAUGGUUGAGUGGGGUUUGGGCUUUGUCAUGAUGAGACAAGCCCAGAAUGGGCAUUUUGCCCAAGACCUUUUUAUGCAAGGGAGCCUUUAAAAUGGAGGUUCAAAUUGAACCGUUCGGUUCGAUUAGAACCGUCCGGUUCGACCGAGUCACCGGUCCGACCGUCGGUUUUGGCGGUUCGUGGCCGGUUUAAAUCUUAAACGGUUCAAUAAGUAGAUCGGACCGGAAUUGUGACCGGUCGACGGUUGAACCGGUUGGACCGGCCGGUCCGGUCCGGUUUUUAAAACAUUGAAAUAUUGGACUCGGGUAUCAGUUAGGUACCGGUCAUGGCCAAGGCAAAUAUGACUUGGUCAAGUCAUACCAGUCUUAACUGAGAUUUUGAACCUUGUUUGAACUCUUUAUUUCUUUGCACAAUACCCAUUUUUUAAGGCUAACAAAAUACCCCAACGAAGAUACAAGAGGAUUGAGAUGCAAAUAUAGGAAUGAAGAUGAAAAGGGUUUGAAGAGUCUAAACUCUUCAUACUUUUCCAUUUUCAUGGGUUUCAAUCUUCUUCUUUCAUCCACCAUUUUCGCUCUGGUAUUACCAUUUUUUUCCAUCACCCAUCAUCCAAAAAGCUUAGUUUGGACAUAAUCUUGGAGUUAUCUCAAAGUUUCUUUUUUAUUCAACAAGUUUAUUCAUGAGUCAACCAAAUAUUGGACUAGGGUAUCGAUUGAUACUAAUCAUGGCUGAAGCGGAUAUGACACGAUCAAGUCAUAUGUGUCUCAACCGAGAUUAUGAACCUUGUUUGAGCUUUCCAUUUCUAUACACAAUACCCAUUUUUGAAGGCUCAAAAAAUAAUCCUACGAAGAUACAAGAUGAUGAAGAUGCAAACACAUGGAUGAAAAUCCAAAGGGUUUGAAGGCUCUGAACUCUCCAUAUUUCUUCACUUUCAUGGGUUUCGAUCUUUUUCUCUCAUCCACCAUUUCCGCUCCAAUAUUACCAUUUUUUUUCCAAUUUUUAUAGUGCAAUGGUUGGCUGUUCACGGACUAGCUGUACCUACCAUUUCUUUUUUGGGGUCAAUAUCAGCAAUGCAGUUCAUCCAACGAUAAACCUAAUCCGAAUUAUAGAGCUACGACACAAUCAAACCCGAAGGAAAGGAUUUGUAUGAUAUCUGAUCUAGGGAAAUAUAUAUAUUAUACUGUGUCAUCCAGAAAAUCGAGUGAUUCCUUAUUACCCAUCACUCGAAGAGCUUAGUUUGGACAUAAUAUUAUGGUUAUCUCAAAUUUUCUUUAUGAUCCAACAAAUUUAUUCACAAGUCAACCAAAUAUUGGACUUAGGUAUCAGUCCGAUACUAGUCAUGGCGGAGGCGGAUAUAACUCGAUUGAGUCGUACCAGUCUCGACUAAGAUUUUGAUCCCUGUUUAAGCUCUUUAUUUCUCUGUACAAUACCCAUUUUGAAGGCUUCCAAAAUAGCCCUACCAAGAUACAAGAUAAUGGGGAUGCAAAUAUUACUCCUUGAAUUACUGGCAAUAAUUGGUUUAUUUUUUUAAUUUUGAACUAUUUUUUAAAAUUAAAUAUUUGUUAAUGAAACAAAAGCACUAACUCCUUCUUGAUUUGGAGUUUAUUUGUUGAAUGAAAUUUUUUGGAUAAUUUUGGUUUUGCGCAUAAGAGAAAUAAUGAACCAAUUGUUGUUCAUAAAUUCAUAAAAUUGGAUUAGCAUUUGAGUUUCAAAUUAUUUUUAAAAGUGCUUACAUUCAUUAAUGAAUCUAAUACACUAAGUUCCUCUUUGGGAUGAAUUUUGAACGAGGCUAAAAGCGUUUCCUAACACUAGAAAGCAAUCUUAAAAAAAUGGUUGAAAAUCACUUUUAAAAAUCUAAAUGAUGACAUGAUUCUUCAAACUAUCACAUUUUUGUUAUAUUAUACAUUACCAAAACAUUCUCUGAACAUAUUUUUUUUUAAAUUUAUAAUAUGCAUUUCCUACAAAACAAUCUUAAAAAAAUAUGUAUAUCAUCGAUAAUUAAAUUACGGUUUGACAGUGAUUUUAGCAAUUGUUUUUAGUUUUUUUAAUACUUUAAAAAUAACAGCAGUGAAUUUAGGAAACGUUUCUAGCUUUUUUAACACUUGAAUGAUAUAAAUUUUCAAGUAUUAGAAAAGUUAAAAAUGUUUCCUAAAAUCACUACUAAACAGGCUUUAAUCAGUAGUAGUAAUUAAUUGGUAUUGAAUAACUGUAAUGCAGUUUCCUAAAUGUAGUAUUGAGACAGAAACAGAGAGGAAGAGAGAGAUGCUUAACAAACAAAUUGCUUUAUUGUAGUAAUAUGCCCAAAGUCCACACCAGAAGAGUUACAACUAGACCCUCUUAUCAUACUAGGAUUGUUAUAACGAGGGAAUUGAACAUCAUAAAUAGUCAUUCAAGCAAGGAAAUGAAAGGUUGAUAGCUUCUUCUUUUUCUAUAUUCCCCCACUAGAAUCGUGCUUGAAGGUAUUCAACCACCUUCUUGUCCAACUAGAAGGCCCUUGCCAGGAAAUCAGGAUUGAUGGGUGGAUUUGAUCCAAAC